rnacentral:lncRNA from 1 species
GAUAAGGUUCACUCUCCACCACUGUGCUGCCCAGAGGAGGAUUUGGAGAGGGGGUGUGAACUGGCAGAGGUGGCUGCUUACAUUUUCUCUCUAGGCAGCACCAUGGGCCAAGUUUGUGCUGACAGGUUCUCCAAAGAGAGCAGAGGUAAGAGCAGCCUCCAGUUUCUCUACCUUGAAUGCUUCCCCAGCAGACUUCAGAGGAGGAGAUGCCUUGUCGGUAGGAGUGGGUGUUCCUGACAGCAGGGAAUCUCUCUUCCUCCUUUCCAGCUUCUGUUGCAGGGCAGGAGGAGGGAGGCCAGGUUGCUGUUGCUGCUUAAUCUUCACUCCUUGCCAGCAACACCUGCUGAUGGGCUGCUUUUCCUUCAAAGUAAAAGUGGCAAUGUUAAGCAUGCUUUCUAAAAAGCAUGCACACGAUAGUGCAAUGUGUGUUGUUUGCUGCUGCAGCAGCAAACAUGGAAGGACUUUUCCCAGCAAAUAAUAGACACAAUCUCGUGUUCAGUUUUUUUAAGCUGAUAGAGUGAGAUUUGAGCGGAUUUUGUUCUCAAGUUAAAGCAACUGAAACGGCUUUAAAUAAAGUUCUUUGAAUUAUCUAGAAAACAAAUUACAUAAGCAAACUCUUGUAGCAUACCCUAACUCUCCCUAUCUCCCCACUUCCCUGAACUUUCCCAAGAAGAACUCUCCACUCCCUUCAAUUUCAGCUUCUCAAAAAAAGAAAAGGGGAAAAAAGAUUAUUUAUAUUGUUUGAUAUGUGGAUUUGGCUCAAUUUAAGACUUUUAUGUGGAUCUGGGUCAAACUCACAGCUUUGAAACUAGUGGAAGUAUAUGUGUACAGUACUAUGUGCAUAUAGCUUAAAAAAAGAAUCACCAGUUUUUCUAAUUUUAGCCUUUGCAGAUUGCAGUGUCCUUUUUGGCAUACAGAAUAAAAGAACAAGAACAUACAAAUGAAAUAUUCUGGUGUGUUUGUUUUUUCUUUUUUAAAAAAGUGAUAAGAAAAAACUAUGUAACAUGAUACCACAUCCGUUUGAUCUGCUGGCUAAAAACAUCUGCAAUAAAACAUUUGGUUUUGUUUCUGAAGCAGCCAUUGCAAAUAUAAAACAACCUCUUUUGAUUGUAUGUAAUUCAAAACCUUUGUAUACUUUGCAAUUCUUUAAAAAGUAAAAUUAUUAACAUUGGCAACCUUUUCAGUUUUACUACGUUGCCCCUUUUACUACGCCUUUCCACAGCAGUUAUGAAGAAACCAGUCAGACAACAUAAAUCUACUUACUCUUUGGCUCCCCACCCCCUAACACACAACCAGAAACAAGAACUAAUCGGAUAAAAGUAAUUUUGUUGUUUACAAAGGAAAAUAAAGUUGUCAGUUUUUAAAAGUUCACCCCAGUGAUGAAAAGCAUGCUUACUCUGCAAAAUCUGAUUGUAUUGGGGAUCUUAGCAGUGCCCUUUGUAGGAAUGGAAUACAUAACAAAAUUAAUUAUUAUUUUUGUCAAGAAUUGCAAAAAGUUAAAGAAUAGUUGUUUUCUACUUUGGAAAAAAGUUUGAAACCAGAGACGAUUAUAUGUAACUGAAAUGUGAAACUUAGUAAUGAAUUACUAGUAAUGAUUUUUAGAAGAAAUAUGUUUCUACAUUUAAAAGGAUUUAUUGUUGCAUUUUGCUAUGAAACCCAACCUUCAGUCUGUGCCCUUUUAAAAGAUACUAAAUGGCAUACAUGUUUAUAUCUUUGAAACAAAUGUAGUCAACUUGUGUAAACUAGUUUUCUCUAACUGUAAUAUACCUUCACAUUGAGGCUGGAGAAGUAAACAAUUAUUGGUAUAUAGACAAUGUUAGCCAUACUCAGAGUAGACCCAUUGAAAUUAAUGGGCAUCAGUAAUAGUCUAAUUUAGUGGGAUACAACCAUAGGCUGCAUUUUUACUAUUAUACAUAGGCAUACUAGAAAUAAGCCUUUUAGUGUGUGUAGGGUAUAACAAUAUAAAAUACAAUCCGGUCACUUUUAAGUCCACAUGCUUAACUCUCCCACUGAAUUCAAUGGGACUUAAAUGUGCUUACUUAUAUAACUGUUUACAGAUUUGAAACAAAAUCUCCAUUUACAAACUUUUCAAUUACUGCAGUUACGUUUAAAUUAAUACAAAUAGAAAGUUCAAAGUGUUGUACCUGCCUUAUAGCUGCUGGAUAACUUAAGACACAUUAAGAAUACUAUAAAUACUUUCUCCCAUUAAACUGGAGACUACAUAUGUUGAAAUAGGAUAGCACAAGCAGAAUCACAGGCACAAGUAGAAUUACUGCUUUAUAUUGCUCUUUAUCUCCUGUGUGUGUGCAUAUGUAUUUGUGGAGGAGAAAAAACAACACUGAACUGUCCUAAUCCCUGCCCUAACUAAGCAUUCUUAUCAGGAAGUAAUUCCCAUUGUAAUCAGUAAUUCUUACUUCUGAGUGAGCAUGAUUAGGAUUUGGGUUUAAGUGUAAAUUGGGUGGGGAACCUCAGGUUCAAUACAACUCUCCAGACUUCUCUGUCUGGCCUUUGUGCCUCUUCCUAGGCAAUGGCCCCUUCCUCCAGGCCACAUCACUUACUGGCCUGCUCUAUGCCUUCCUUGAGUGGUUUUGACUGGAUAAAGUUGUGUUCUUGAACUGUGACAAUGCAUUUGGCUUGCCCAGGUACCGAGGGCUUAUGUGUUUAGAAUCAUCUGACUUUUGCAUGAUUGGAAUGUAGCCUAUGGUACAAAGGUAAAGAGCCACCCACUUUACCUCUGGCCCCACCCACCACCAGCAUGUGGCCCCAGAUGUAUUAUCAAAAGACAAUGGGGCCCUUGGAUUGAAAGGAGUCCUGGGGCAAGUAAUUUUGCACAAUUUAAGGCACCAUUUUGUUAUUCUACAUCCUUUUCAUAGUAUAUUUGGUAUUAUUGUAGCAGUGACUCUAACAUUGGCAGGAGAAGCACCUUGUCCUAAAGAGGGGAAGGAAUCGUAGGGCUGGGCAAUAUGUGGUUUUCAACAUCGUGAUGUAUUGCCAGCUAAACAUCGUGAUAUAUCGAUACACUAUAUAAAGAUGUCUGCAAUAAGAAUUGAACAAUGUAGAGGCGAACAGUAGGACUGGGCAAUAUCUGGUUUUCAACAUUGUGAUGUAUCGCCAGCUAAACAUCAUGAUAUACCAAUAUAUCACAGUGUCUGAAAUAAGGAUGAAGUUAUGUAGAGGCCUUGGCUGGCUUCACAGUUUUCCUCAUGUUGUCAUUGUUGCAUAGCAUACACACACAUCAUGAUUCACGAUAUAUUGCCAGGUCAAAAAUUAUUAAACCGAUAUCACGAUAUGAACUUCAAACUGGUUCUGGACAAUAUAUCAAUAUAUCCCCUAGAAAGGAUCUUACAGCAGGUAGAGCUAGAUACACUUUCUACUAAGCAGCAGAGACUGGUGCUGCUUGGCGCAUCAGAUAAACUUAGAAGGACCCUGAGUUCAGGACAGUUUGAGAAACACUGUUUGAUCAAGUAUAACUUCCUAUAACAGCAAUGAAACUUCACUAGAUUCAUUCCCUAUGGUGCUAUGCAUUGUUUUAAUAAAGUUCCAUUCCAAAUCGUCAAUUUGCCGACCAUACAGCAAGCCACAGCCCCAUUGAUUUUAAUUAGCUGUGCACUUCACUCAUGAUUAGUAGUGGGUUGAUGUCCUUAGCAAUGUCACUCACCCAAAAUAUAUAAAAUGAAAGAAGGGGACAGAAUAAAAACUUGCUGUUACUGCAGCUGCAUCAAUGAUGUACCACAGUGAUCCCAGUGCUGUAUAGAAUUUCUGUACAUAUCAUGGAAAUUGCUUUAAUUUUAAGAGCCUGACAGAGGUAAGCACUUUUCCCAAAGAUUUAUUUAAUACGUAUACCUUGCUCCUAGUUAUCUGCUACUUAGGUUACUGACCAAGUCUGCAUUGGCUUCAGUUCAGCAGCUCUUCAGCAUUAAAGACUUCCACUAUGUUCACUGCUCCUCUGGUAGGGAUAAGCGUUUUAGGUGUUGUUAUAGAUACAACAAAAUGUUGCACAAGUAACAUUAACGUACCUGAGGCUGUAACACCCUGUAUAUUUUAUAUUAUGUUGGAGUUAAUUACGCUAAAGAUAGUCGGGCCUACUUCACAGUAAACAUGCAAAGGAUUAGGUAAAGGUAAAGGUACCCCUGCCCGUACGGGCCAGUCUUGACAGACUCUGGGGUUGUGCGCUCAUUUCACUCUAGAGGCCGGGAGCCAGUGCUGUCCACAGACACUUCCGGGUCACGUGGCCAGCGUGACGAAGCUGCUCUGGCGAACCGGCACCAGAGCAGCACACGGAACGCCGUUUACCUUCCCGCUAUAAAGCGGUCCCUAUUUAUCUACUUGCACUUAAGGGUGCUUUCGAACUGCUAGGUGGGCAGGAGCUGGGACCGAACUACGGGAGCUCACCCAACUGCAGGGAUUUGAACCGCCGACCAUGCGAUCGGCAAGUCCUAGGCGCUGAGGUUUCACCCACAGCGCCACCCGCGUCGCUAUGCAAAGGAUUGGUGUGCACCCUUUUCUGAGCAGCAUCAUAUAAAAUAUGUUUUGAUAUGAAGGUAAACACCAGUGAAAAUCGGUAAUACUGGGGUGAUGAUCCAGACAAUGUGUAGCCAAAAGAUCAAUGUGUUUUGUCAUUAUUUUUAGAUGCAUUGUGAUUUUUCAUUGCGUUGCUUUAAGACUGAUGUGGUUGCUACCCUGGGAUUUUUUGGUGGAAAGAAUGAGGUACAUUUAAUAAACAAUUUACAUUCAGCUUCUAUAAAACCGAAGAGCCCUGAAAUCUUAAAGAUAUUUUUUCCUAUUUCUCUUUUUGUUUUCAAACUUAUAAAAUGAAUCAAACGUAUAAAAUAGCAUCUAAUUAAUUCUGGUUUUGGUAUAUCUACAUUCCCUACUGGGAUACACACCUAAGUUGAAAUCUUCUUUGAUUUUGACUGACCGUGCUGUUUUCUUUUCCAGUACCUUGUGGUAAUAUUUCUUAACACUUUUUGUUUGUUCUGCAGUGGUACAUUAUAGAAUCUACCCUGACUCAUCCUGCUGGGUAGGUGCUAUUUACCUUCUGUGAAGAAGAACAGAUAGAAAAAAAGAAAGAAAAUGUUACUUACAAGUAAACUCAAACACCUAUGGGGAAUAAACUAUAACCAUCAAUUUCCCCAUAAAAUUCCACGCCAAAAAGCCACUGGAGGCUCCAUACAACUCAGUAGGUUACAGCUCAAAAACCAUCAAAUUAAAAGUUUAACCGCAACAAUAAAAUCAGGCUGCUUUCUGAAACUGGUAUUUUUAGUAAGUGAACAUUUGCACUCCCUAGGCAAGUUUCUGCACAGUUCAAAAUGGCCUGAAUCCAGGUCCACCUUGUUAACAGUGACUGAUUCAUGUGUUACAUUUUCCACUCAUGGAAUCUUUCCUGAUUCUCAUGCUUGAAUUCCUAUGGGGAAAUUCAUGAAACAUUGUGUUUGAGCAUGCAAAUUGCUUGUUUAUCUAUCUGUUUGCUUCAGAACUGAACUCCGAAUCUAGAAAGGCUUAUGCUAGUGUGGAAGCAAGUCACAUGUAGAAUCUGGCAGUGGCAUCAUUUACAGAAGCUAGAUUCACAACUACUGAACAAGAGCACUCUCGCUGAUGGCACCUUCCCUGAUAGAAUCCUUUCCAAGAGAGCCUGCCAAAUACAAUCCCUCCAGACUGCGGCCCAUUUCAUGUUUUAAUAGAACAGCAUGGCUGCCACUUCCCUGUGGCUGUCUGGACAUUUGAAAGACAGAAUUGUGUGGGGUCACAAGGAUCACACAUAAUGAUGGAUGAAUUGGGUCUUACUUAGAUCAGGACGGUUUCUCAAAGUGUGCUGAAGAAUAAGAUUUGACCAUGGAUUGGGAAGAAUAUCUUGAAUACCAGGCAUUUCCACCUACACAAAUAAGGCUUAGACUGAGCCUUGAGUGCUAACGUAUUUCAUUGCUGUAUUUUGAAAUCCCAAAACGUACAUGGGAUAAGCUUUCUAAUGAACACAAAGGGGCUAACUUCUGAGUAAAUACACACACAUAGACAUGAAGUUCAGGUCCGCUCUUCUGACUGAGCAAGUCUCAGAAAAUCUGGCUUUCAGGAGAUUGAUUGCUUCCUAAAUUACUCUAGUGAGUAUUUGGAUAUUUAUCCUAACCUGUUAGUCGAACAUGCUUGUCACAGAUGAGUGAAUCAAUGCCAUUGACUGCUAUCAUUUGUGACUAGCAAAAAUGGUUCCCUGAAGUCUCCCAGAAGCGAUUAUAAUUCCUCAUCUUUAUGGUUCCAGUUCCAAAGUACAUGGAAUUUACAAGAAUUACCAUCCUGGUUAUAUUGUUUGAAUGUCUUAAACCACCAAAGGAAAGUCUCUAGACAUAUCAAACUACUAAUAGUGGUUUGACACACACUGAUCACAGUAUUGUCAUAUGUACAUUUAUUUCAACCAAGGGCUGAGUUGUGGGGAAACAAAUUCUACCAGUCUUAUGCAUAUUAUGGACAAAAUGGGAACUCUGACAUCACUCUGAGAUUUUCAGCCAAAUGUUUGGAAUAAAAAAAGAAAAUCUAAACAAAUGGAUGCCAUAAUAUUGAUUAAAUGUGUAAUUGAAGAAACAAUACUUAAAGACAGAAAAAUAGAGGAGUCCAAACUGGCAAGAAUCUUGUCUGUUGUGUCAUUGGAAUAGCAAAUUUGGUGAGAGGUCAGACUUACACAAUAGGAAGAGAGCUCCAUGCUUGCUUCUGGUUUUAUGUAUAUUUAUAUGCGUACGCACUAAUAAAACGAAAUAUUGCUUUAUGUACUCCUGUCCCCUGAGCACGGACAGCAAUUUGGUUUCCUUUACAGUGAGGUCAUUGGAGGCGUACUUGAGUUUAUUUACAAAUACACAAGUUUAGCCUAGGGGGAGGACCAGCUGAAACACACUGACAGACAGGAACAGUCCACUGCUCCCACAUCAGGUCUUCAGGAAGACAGACAUUGCCUUAAAGAUUCUUAUACAGUCCAAACUUCACUCUCUGUAUAGUUUUUUCUUAGCAUCAAAACUGUCCAUCUGCUUUCCACAAAUGUCUUCUUGUUUACAUUAACACCAACUUGGGGCGGCAGAGAGAGCGAGAGUCAUCACCCUUCCAGAUAUUUCAUGGACUAUCCCUAAGGCUAUUGAGAGCUUUCAACCUUUAAAUUCCAUAACAAAAUAGACAGUUGCAAAGACCAUUAAGGUAAUUCCCAGCAGCCUUGUUGGUCCAGUCACUUUAGCAGACUCCAGUGUAACAGUCAUAGAAUCACCAUGUUGGAAGAAACCCCUAAGUCACCCAGCUCUCAAUUACAUGGCAAUAUGUAAAAAUCAAACAAAUGUUACUGACGGAAGGAGCAGCAAAAGCAGGUCUGAAAACUUCCACCUCAGAAUGCAGAUGUAGGCAAACAGGCUAGAAAUUCUUUUGUCAAAAAAAGGUUGCUUGUUUUAACAACAGAAAGUCAAAAUUCCUCAUACACUGUGGUAUAUUGCCUUAUUCUAUUUAAUUCAAAUGUAUGUGUACGUUUAUAAAAUCUCUAUAUUCCUUUGGGGUGAUUAUUUCACCUUUUGCUUUUUGCACCAACGUAGUCAACUAAAAUGUAUGGACCAAAUGACAAAAGGUGUGCAUAAUAUUUUCAUAUGCUGGGUACUUUUGUUUCCUUAUAGAUGACUCAUUCCCCUCCAUUUGCUUCUCAUCAUUUACAUUGUACAAUCCCUGCUCAUGUAAUUCCUUUCCUGCUACAUGCUAAAGCAAAUCCUUUUUCACUUCUUCUUUUCUUAGCAAUGAUUUGUGAAUGAGCUCCCCCAAGCAAAUCAUCCCAUUACACAACUCCUUCACUCCCUUUCUUCAAAUCACUCCCACAGAAGCCACACACAGUGAGCUCUGUCCUCCUCCACAAAACCAAUUCAUGUUCCUUCCUCUAAAUAUGUGUAAUCACUUUUGCUUAGAUACAUAGAUUACAAUUACACGUAUAAGAUUACCUCCAUAUAUCCUCAAGCAGUUAAUUGUGUGUGUGUGUGCAUAUACAUUUGAAUUAUGAUAUCCCUUUCACACUUCCACCUACAUACCAUCCAACAUUUGUCAGAGAAAAACAUAAACUUGUCAUAUAUUAAGCAAACAAGGUGGUCAUUGUAGAGCAUUUAGCAAGCCUAAUGAAAGAUAGCAAGCUUCCUUUGGGGACUGGCAAUUUUCUCCCUAUUUUAUUUUAUUUUAUUUGUAGAAACAAUCAGAUAUAGUUCCUUUUCAUAACCAGAUGCAGCAUUUUUAAUUUUUUUUUGGUAGCAAUUCAGAAUCAGAUAUAAGCACAUUUUUGUCUCUCGGAUCCUAACUUUUCUUAGGUUUUAAGCAUUCAGUACACCUUUACAAAGUUGUCAGAUUCGCUUCCCAAGCAAGCCCAGUAUGGCUACAGUUUACAAAUUGUGAAUAUAUAAGCAAGCUACACAGGGGUGGGGGGGGCAGGGGGGGUCGUUCCUAAAGCAAGUCAUGCAUCAAGGUGAAGGGAAGUGGUAGCAACAUUGUGGCAAUUUGUUGUGAUCAUGAUGGGAGGGGACAGUAACAGAAAUGCGAUGUCACACUCAUGUGUUUGCUUCUCCAGCUUAGUAGUAUUUUUGUGCAUUGUCUGUUACUUUGAAAUGCUGCCUUCCCUUGCUUUCCAAUAUCUCCCACCCUUUUCACGUGAUAUUUCACAUUUGUACAGGUAUUCCAAUAUGUCCUAAAGAUGCCAUGAUUGUGCGACACAUACAGACUACAGUGGUACCUCGGGUUACAGACGCUUUAGGUUAUAGACUUCACUAACCCAGAAAUAGUACCUCAGGUUAAGAACUUUGCUUCAGGAUGAGAACAGAAAUCGCACGGCAGCGGCAUGGCAGCAGCAGGAGGCCCCAUUAGCUAAAGUGGUACCUCAGGUUAAGAACAGUUUCUGGUUAAGAAUGGACCUCCAGAACGAAUUAAGUUCUUAACCCGAGGUACCACUGUGGUACUUUGUAUUGGAAUGAUAAUGUGUGACAACCGGCAGACAGAUGUAUGUGAAAGGUAUUUGACAAUAUUUUACGGUGUUUAUGACUACCCACACAUAGUGAGUGGGAAGCAGGAUGUAGCCCAGCAGUGACCACCUCAUAAGGCCUGGAGAAGGGAAAGGCGGGCAAAUUCUGCACAGGUAGGGUGGGCAGGAGCCAUUUUGGGCAAGAGCUUAUGUUAGGAACAUAGGAAGCUGUCUUGGUCUGUCCAUCUAGCUCAAUAUUGUCUACACUGACUGGCAGUUGUUUUCCAGGGUUUCAGGCAGGGAAUAUCUCCAGCCCUACCUGGAGAUAUGAGGGAUUGAACAUGGGACCUUAUGCUUUGAUGGCAAGUGCUCUACGACUGAGCUACUUCCCUUUACCACUAUCUCGUUGGCACCUAAUCAAACUUUGGGAGUAGUUCUGGCACUUUCAUUUAGGAAAUGAUCUUUCUGGAUAUCUUUGUAUGUUUGUAAAAUAGUGCUUAAGAACUGUUUUUCUAUAGAAUUCAAUUCUGUGUAAAGUUAUACAGUCACUGUCCCUUUAAAUGAGUCUUAAAGACUUUCAGCAGCUAUUCUUACAUACAAUUUGUGCUGUGUGGUUUCAUUGUGGUCAAGAUAUGCCAGUUUAUUGUAGGUUUUGUGCUCUUUUGAAAUGGGGUUUUAAAAAUGAUUUUAGUUUGUGUAUUGUGCAAAUUGCUCUGAGGAUUUCCCCCCCCAGCAAAAGCAAUCUAUAGAUCUGUUUUUAUAAAUAGAUUGAUACAUAGUCACAAGUGGAAAGGAAGUUUGAUCUAUGAUUGAAGAUGAUGCAGCAAUAAAGCAGCUAGCACAUUUACAAAGCUAAGCAGGGUCCAGUAUGGUUUCAAAUUGGGUGGGGGACCACAUAUUAAGAUUCCUGCAUUGCAAUGGGUUGGACUAGAUGGUCCUUAGGCUCCCUUCCUAAUUCUAUGUAUACAAAUUAUCUUUGUGAGAGGCUUAAAAAAAAGAAAAAGAGCCAACACCUGUCGUCUACCCAUACAAGUAUGGUCUCAUUCACAACAUGGAACUACCUUUAAAAUCCCAUUUGAGUAACAGUUCCAGGAAACUUGCCACAGUUCCCCUACCUACCAUUUAUUUGGAACCAUUUGCUCUGCUACCGACACAAGAUUCUGGAGUCAAAGAUCAGGGCUUUUGGUCUUCACUUCAUGAACAGACCAGCCUUGUGAGAUAUUCCCUUUGCAUUUGUAUGAAUAAGCUAAAGUUUUCAACCGCCCAAGAUGGCUGCCUGUUGUUUGAAACAGCAACAGCACUCCAGAUUGUUUAAGACAGUAUAAGCAAGCACUGUAGGGAAAUGCCAAACCCCAAAGUGAUGUACUUUAGUGUGUGUGUACAUUCACGCAUGUAUAUAGGAGUCAAACCACUGACUGGAAAUGGCUCUCCAGGGUUUCAAACUGGAGUCUUUGCUAGCCCUGCCUGGAGAUGUGAAGGAUGUUGUACACUGCCUGGUUGUACACUAAAUUGUUUUGAAUGCUUUCUAUCCACCUGGAAUUAGGAGAAAAAAAGAGAAGAUAAUCUAUCAAUGUAUUUGUCCAAAUGUCUCAGCUGUCAGAGAUGGAGGUGGCAAAUGAAGAGAGGCCACUCUUAGUUGUGUUGCCUAUACAAUUGCUCCCUUUUCCCACCAAGUGAAAACCACUUUAUUCUUGGGGGCCUUUUAAAAGCUUCAUAAUUCCAAACCACCACCACCCAUGUUGGUUUUCUCGCUGGUUUUGUCUCUUCUCUCCAUUUUUAUAUUGAAUGGUUGUUGGCCAUAUUUUGUGAGCUGCGUUUGGGAUCUUUGAUCAAGGUGGUUAAUAUUUGUUUGUUUGUUUUUUUGUUUGUUGCCCUUAAAUCUCACUUUUCCUCUAAGGUGCUAAGAGUGGCCUGCCUUGUUCUCCUCUUCACAACACCCCUGUGAAGCUAAGAGGCAGUGACUGGUUCAAGGUCACCCAGUAAGCUUCAUGACUGAGUGGGGAUUUGAACCCUGGUCUCCCAGGUCCUAGUCCAAUACUCCACCCACUAUACCAUAAGUUGCAGGCUGAGUCUUUCUUUAAAAGCAAAGAAACCACCAAGUCAAAGUUGACCAUUCCUCCAAAUUUUGCCCAUUUGUGACAGGCUAAAUGGUCUCCCCAUACAGGUUUUAAAAGCUUAAGAGUCCACAUAUAUUUGGAAUAUUUACCAUAAUGGAUGUCAUCUGGGUUCAUAGAAAGGGUACCACAACAUCUUUAACCAGCCCUUUGGCUGAUCGACAUCUAUUGCCCUUUCAAAGGUGUUGCGGAAGGGUGGAUUAUUGUGUUGUCUUUGUUUUUAAUGUUAUUAUGCAUUUUUGUGGUUUUUUUAUAUUAUAAUUUUAUGUUGUGAGCCACCCUGAGAUCUAUUGGUAUAUAGCAGUAUACAAAUUUAAUAAAUAAAAAUAAAUAAAUAAAUACAGUGGUACCUUGGUACUCGAAUGGCUUAGUUGUUGAAUCAACUCCCAAACGCCAAAAACCCGGAAGUAUGGUAAGUGUUCCAGUUUUUGGAUGUUUUUCAGAAGCUGAACAUCCGACACUGCUUCCACUUGAGUGCAGGAAGCUCCUGCAGCCAAUCAGAAGCCGCGUCUUGGUUUUUGAACAGUUUCGGGAGUCGAACGGACUUCUGGAAUGGAUUAAGUUUGAGGACCAAGGUACCACUGUAAUCACUUUGAAAGCAAGAUUUCCUUGUGGAUCAGACUGUUACAUCAUCAAAGAAUUGGGAUGCAUGGGAUAAUGCCACUUAACAAACGAAGGUGGGUCACAUUAAUUGAACUGCCUCCUCCUGCUUACAAAUGAUGUCAUUUCCAGACUGAAUCCAAUGUAGUUAAGGGCAGUUGAGAAAGACAGGGCUAAUUCUGCCAGGCUUGAAAGAGCUGCGUUCAAGCUGGGCAUCUCAACAGAAGGCACAUCAUUAGAUUGCCUCAAAGUGAUGCCAUAACCAGUGGUAGGUAAAGCUCAUGUAUGGCAAUCCCAGUGCAAACCUGCAUGAGCAGUACAGCAUUAGAAGGACUGCUUAAUUCAGAUCAGAAAGGCAUGUCUCAGCCCAUGAUGACACAGGAAGAGAAGUAAAUGAAGGCAAACAGGAUGAUUAAAUGCUUGGAAACUUUUGUUGCAAUAUUCAGGAAGUAUACAAGUUUUCCUAAUUCAUCAUACUAUUUAUUUAUUACUAGUAAAUUAAUGGGCUUCUGAAAAGAAUUCAUUACCCUUUUUACACACACUGCUACUUGCGGAUCAUUUAUUCAUCUGUGUUAUCUUGUGUGACUAAAAACAGCUGUAAUUACAUUGUUAAACACUGAUUAAUAAGCAGCCCACAUCUCUAAUAAAAGGAAACAAGCUAAAAAAUAAAGUGCAAGCUCAUUUAAAAAAUAAAAUAAAAAAUGCAACCCCAUCCUUAACAGAUCUACUUGGAAGUACAUUGCAUUAAUUCAAUUGGACUUACCUUCAAGCAAAAUAUGCUCAGAAUUGUUAUUGGUUGUAUAGUUGUAUAAAAACCUCUCUUUUUCUUCUGCAAAGAAUGAUUUGGCAGAUGAAUAGGAGAAGAGUAAUGGAAAUAAAUAACUAAAACAUUUCCCUGGGAAUGAAUACGGGACUUAACCAAUAUUCAUUUCAGCCUGAUGACAUUUUCUUUGAGAAACACGAGUAAGCAGGUUUGUUUACAUGAGGACAGACUGAGCCGACAAUCCUAGGUCUACUUGCCUGCAAAUAAGCCUCAUUGAACUCAAUUAGACUUUCUUUUGACUAAAUAUUGACCGGAUUGUGCUUUCAAGCUUCAGUCCUAUAGACACUUACUGGGCAGUAAGUCCUAAUGAGUACAGCGAUACUAACCUCUGAGCUAACACACAUAGAUAGGAUUGCACUGUUGAUUCUACCAGCAAAGCAGCAUUUCCUCAGCAUGAAUAACAUGUUUAGUUCUUCAGACAAGUAUAUUUUGCAUACUUAUAUUAAUUAUGCAAUUAACUUUCCAGCCAUGUUGAGUCUGGGUCUGUUUUAUGGAUUAGCGACAGGGUGACACAUUAAGCCACCCCAGCAUUUCAUUAUUAUUUUUUCCGGGAAAUUCAGUUUGAUGGGAGCAACAUGUCGCAAAUUGUUAAGUGUCGGAAAUUGGAACAGCUGCUAAUGGAAAACAAGAAUGCUUCAAACUCUUGAUAGAAUCAAGCUACUUACUUUUACAGUAUGAAGUUAUAGGGAUUUAAAAUGAACAAUAAGGCUUUUAAGAAAGCUUUCACAUCAACGUUUUCAAGAACAACCUGUCCUAAAAGAUCAGUGUGGCUCAUUAAUGCAUAUUAAAAAUUGAAUUAAUUAUUCUUUUCAAACAAUGAAACAAUGUUGCAGUGUCUGACUCAAUGCAAGGAGUUAGGGAGAAAUUACACAUUGUAUACAAAACUGUAUACCAGGAGCCUGAUGGUCCUUUUAUUCUUUUGAAAAGCUGUUUUGGAAGGGGGCAAUUCAAAGCAGAGUGUCAAGGGGUGCAAGUUCUUUUCUCAUCUACCAUAUUUCUGAUAAAAAUCUUCCCCUUCAUGCAGCAGCAUUCUUUGCAGUAUUAUAGUAGGAGGAAUAUCAGUACAUAGUAGGAAUAUCAGUACAUAAGGCUGCAAUCCUAUAUUUUGAACUAAGCCCAAUUGAUUGCAGUAAGACUUCUGAGUGGACAUGUAUAGUAUUGAUAAUCAUCCAAACUCAUCAUUAGUAUUCUGGAAAUCUUUCUUCCUCCUUGUCCUGGAGAAUUUUGUAAAUCAAGAAAGGGGUACAUCUUCCUUAUAUCUCCUUUAAUAGAUAACCACUAGCCAUACUGUCUGGGUUUUCUGGGUAGUCUAACAGUCUCUAGACAACCAUAGGUUCUCCAUCUUGUUGUAAAUGAGGAUUUUUUUUGUUCUCCUGUAUGAUUUACUUGUACUGCUGUGUGUUAAUUGGUUUUAUGUGCUUUGCACAUUACAGAGUGUUACUGUUAAUUUGUUGGCCUUGGUAGUGAUUGUGUGAUUAAUAGCGGCUGGAGUCUUCUGUUGCUAGGCCUUACCACAGGUGAGAAUACUAAUUUACUUGCCUACAACAGUUAUAAACAAACUUCUAUAGCCAGCUGCUCCCACCACAGCUUUCCAUUACAACAGAAGUUGAUGGAAACACUGGGAGGAAAUUCAAAAUGGAGAAGAACAUGUGGAAAUCACUACAUUUUAAAACCACAGAUUUUUAUAUUGAGAAGAUUCCUGCCCCUCUACCUGCUAAAAAACCCCCGUCUUUCCCAAGCCACAAUAAAUGUCUGAACGAAAUUGAGAUUUCAAGUAUCUUGCAAUUUUACAUUUAGCAAACAGAAAACUUCUAUGCAGCCACCCCUGCUGGCCUUUCAUAAGAUUUCAUAUAGUCAGACUAUUCCAGUUUAGGCAGAAAGUCCACAACUGAGAUUAGUACACACAAUGCAUCUUUCCUAGUACCUUCCAGAAUUUUAGCUGGUAUGCCUCCUAUUUGACUCAGCUGGUCCUCUAAAGGCUAGGGAGACCAGAAGGGCAAUUGAAUGGCUCCCACCACUUAGAAUAAGAGAUACUUAGAGUUGAUUUGCCUAUGUUCCACCUAUUCCUAUUUACCGAGAGCAGUCCCCCCCUUUUCUGCAAAUAACCAUCUCUAGUUUACCUUUCAAAAUGGUGAACAUGUGUACAAAUACGUACUAGAGUGCACUAGCUUCUCUUACACACCCUGCUGCUUGUUAACGGCUUAUCCAGAUACUUAGCAAAUGUUGCUGACUACUUGGGUUGCAGCUGUUCUGCAAUAAAUAAAACCAGAUCCAUUGUGAAAUUUAAUAUUCUGUUAAAAUUCUUAAGUUUUCCAAAAAACUGAACCUGUUAUGGCCAGCCUGGUUAUGUGCCCUGCUUUAAAAGCCAGUGCAGGGCAGGCUAUUGCAGGUGAAAGGAAUAUGGCCCAUCGAGAGGAACUGUGAGUCAUUUAUAAUAGUGGUUGCUGGGGCAGAAGUAGAUUGGGCAGAGACCUAUGCAGAGUGAAGAUAACAAAUGUGUAAGUAUCCCUGUUUGAAUCAGUCAGAUGGAGGUAUGGAUUUACACACACGAAGAGUGAAAUGAAGUAAAAAGUACUAGCAAGAGCACAAAUGUUUUUGAGUACCGUAGUUCUUUGCCCAAAUUUGGAUUUAAUAACACAUGAUCUAUGCUCUGUGUUGAUUCUGUUACGUUGGCGGUGAAAUCCUAUACAUGUCAGAAGCAAAUCCCCUUGUGUUCAAUGGAGCUUUCUCCCAGCUAAGUAGGUCUAGAACUGCAGUCUUACUCUGAUUGCACAGGUAUCUGAGAUAAAUAAAGAUUUGUGUUGUUGCAUGCACUUUGAUAGGUGUUGGGGUGCAUUUUACACUAGUGUUUUAGUUUAAAAUCUUUUUUGCUGGUGAGCUGCGUUGAGAGGGCUUUUUGUUCUGAAAAUAGUAAAAGACAAAACUUACAGCUGAUCUAUAAAUUGAGGUAAGCAAUAUAGUACAUAAUUAAUGGGAGUGAACCUGUUUAGAUUGUUACUGUGUUUAAAUGCAUACUACGUUCAAGUCCACAUAAAGCUAUGUCAGAAAAAGAGGCUUUAAAUCGAGGGGCUCCCCCAACCUCUCUGAUACACAGGUUUUCUACCAUAUUAUUAUUAUUAUUAUUAUUAUUAUUAUUACUACUACUAUACAAACAGAGUUUUGUUUUGUUUUUCCAUGGGAAAAAUGGGAACUCCAUACCUUAUGGUUUAUCUAUAUUUGUGUAUGGCUAUUAUUUUUAAAAAAACAAAUAAAGCCACACAUUUCAUGAUAAGACUACAAGCUGACUAUUUAUUAGGGUUUGAGCAGUAUGGAAUCCAAUGACGACCAAACAAGAAAAGUCACACACACAUAUACCAACUUCUGCUGCUAGGAAGUUUAAAAUAAUAUGUUUUCAAAAGCUGUUAUUAUUGAUGGCAUUAUUACUCUUCAGCCAAAAGUUAUAUAUUUGGGAAAGCUACUGGAUGGGAAUGGUAACGUAUCUGAUCUCUCACUCCCAGACUUGUAUACUUGAACACUUGCAGGAUAUCCAUGCUAUAACUCAGCACUGAUGACAUGAUAAUCCAGGGUUAUGGAUGUUGUAUGUAAUGGUGGGAAUAAAGAAGUAACACUUUCCGUGUGUGUACUGAAUUUAUAAUUUUGCUUUCCUGGUUGUUUCAGUAUAUCUUGCACGAAAAUGCACAAGCCAAUUAUUUUGCAUUGUUGCGCAUCAAGUGGAUGCCAUGUUCUGUAGAAGAUACUAUAUGUUUCUAGCAUGGAUGGCACAGGGAUUCACAAACAACUGGAUUUGACAAUGCCAGUGCCUAUAAUAAUUCUAUCACCAUGAGCCAACUCCAAACCCGGGGGGUGGGAAAUAUUAAGAAUAAAAUCUAACAGUUUGAUCCUAAAUAUUAGUAUAGUAGUCUCCAUCUUACUUUUUUAUGUGCAGCGACACCAAAAUACAGUAUCUAUAUUAAGCAUAAAGGCAAUCUGUAUAUCUUCUGGUUAGAGCAUGGUGCUGAUAACACCAAGGUUGCAGGUUUUGAUCCCCCUACAGGACAGCUACAUAGUCCUGCAUUGAAGGGGAUUGGACUAGAUGAUUCUUGGGGUCCCUUCCAAUGCUAUAAUUCUGUGAGCCAUCAUAUAAAAAGGACGUGCAUAAUACUUUUGUGUAACACCCACCCUUGACAUAUUCUUUAUGUUUCCAGCUGUAGAUUUCUAAUAAAUACUUGGUCAUAGAAUGAAACUACAGAUGUUGGUGGAUUGCAUGACUCCUUGGCUGAAGUGAAUACUUGAAGCCCUGAGUUUUUCUCCAGCUAGCGUUUUAUAGCCUCUGCUUUGGCUUUGGUGAUGGGAAGGAUCCAGCACGAGAAGGGUGGUCAGACCUGUCUGUCUGUCUGUCUGUCUGUCUAGCUGACUGGCUUUUCUUGUUUCCAUCCUUCCUUACUAACAGCCACACCUGGUAUGUUAGGGAAUGUAGUAAUGUUUCCAGGGCACCAGAUGUUGCCUAGGGUGCCUUGGGAAAACUGAAACUUCCAGCACUCCAGGUGCCAGGAUUGGGAGAAUGCAGACAGAGAGGAGGAGGAAAAAGAGGAGAGCUAGACAUCUCCGCUUAUGUAACUGUACUAGGUGAGAGAGGCAGCAGCAAUGAGUGGCAAAGUUAAAAUUAUUUUGCUGCAAAGAACUUUUUCUCUAAGCAUUCGCCACUGUUUUAAUUUUUGGUUCCAAUCUAAAAUGUUCCAGAGGGAGCUUACCUCCUCUAAGUAGAGAUGGAGAAUUCAAUGGAGGUUUCAAACAGAGUUUAAAAGAAGCCUAUUAACCACGUUUAGGCUGCACCUUGUAUUGUACUUCAUUAUCAGAAAAGUUUAUUGCUAUUUAGGCCCCAUUAUUAUAAGUGCAUAGCAUGCUUUUAUUACCCUCUAAUAUGUGUAAAGUUCUUUUUUUUAAGAAACAGAUUCAGCUCACCUCCUGUGUGACUGUGGUUAGAUGCUGUGGAGUUGUAAAGUCUCCAUUUAAAGACUGUACAUCAUAAAAAACAUUAUAGUUUUAUUAAUGAUCGUGUAGGUUUAACAUACUGUAUAAUAAAGGAUCAAUGCUAUAACAUGAUUAGCUACCUUAUGUUAUAUGAUUUCGGCUAAUGAGGAAAGACAGCUCAACAGCCACAUGACAAGGGGUGGCAAAAUGUGACUUAUUGACAAACAAGGAAGCUUUUCCUGCUUAUGUGUUGUUGCUCCUUUUUGUGCUUCCUUUAAACUAGAAGCCUUUGUAUUAUUGGUAGAAUGGUGUUCAGCCUUUUGUUUAGGGUCUUCUACCUUUAACCAGGCUUGUGGGAGAUCUUUUAAUAUUUCUUAGCAUUAGAUUUACUUGCCCAGUAAAUAUAGCUGAUGAAAGAGAAGCUGGCGAUCCAUAAAAGACCAGGCUGCAGGGAUCCUCAUUAAUCUUCUAAUAGUUUUUGCUGUCAUCCGUCUUUAAAGUUCCUUGCCUUGUAAAGUAUUUGUAGUGAAAGCUGGAGCACUCUCGGCCUUCCACUAAGCAGUGACUUCCAGCCAGAUCUCCAACAAAAGCUUUCAAACAUUUUUAGCUUCAGCUGUUUCAUUGGCCCAGGUUUUCCACCAUAAAAGGGAAAAUAUUGUUUGUUUAACUGGGUGUUACAAAGCCAAGGAAAGGAUCAGGAGCAGAGGCACACACACACACACAGAGAGAGAGAGAGAGAGAGAGAGAGAGAGAGAGAGAGAGAGUGUGUCUGGCUAUCUAUACUCAGUAAUGUGAUUAGUAGCUUGUCUUGCUAUGGGGAGUUGAUAAAAUAAAGCAUUUUUGAAUAAAUUCUGUAUAUCAAAAAAUUUGUUUUGUUGUUGUAAAAUUCAGAAGACUAAGCUGAACAGUCUGAUUAAAAGAGCCUCGGAAUGAUCCACAACCGAUGGGGCUAAAUUGGCUCAAAUGAAAUGACUGCAUUCUACUUUAACAAAUUUAUAGAUUGGACUGGCAUGGUUUCAGAAUGCACAUUUACCAUAUAGCAAGUCCUUACUUCUAAGCAAAUGUGCAUAGGAUUGGGCUGCUGGGCUGCAAUCCUAUGCAUACUGAGCUGGGUGUGGGCACAACUGCAUGUAAAGGAGCUUACCUCUGAGUAAGCAAGGGUGGAUCCUAAUAACCCAGGACACUAUUAUUAUUAUUAUUAUUAUUAUUAUUAUUAUUAUUAUAUUGGAUAAUUUCAAAGUGGUGAGUGAAACAAUGGUUAAAUGUGCUUGUUGUUCAGAGCUUAUCUUUCCACAUGAGAAACAAUCUGUACACCUAUAAGGAUUUUUUUAAAAAAAAAAUCUUUUGCUUUUUUGGAAUGUGUUCCCAAUUAGUUUUAGAAAAAGAAGGCACUCAUCUGGACUAGGAACAAGUCCCUUCUCACCAUCUGUUAUGGAUUUUUGUUUUGAGUUAUAGACCCCCACGUUCCAUUAAAGAACUAAGUUUUAAAACACUGUUAUAAAGUGCUAAUAUUUGGAUAACCCACAAUGGCCAGGUAAGCACAACUUCACAUGAGAACUGGGAUCCGACCACACAUAUAGCUUUCAGCCCCUUUGGGAACACACACACAUAUAUAGAUUAUGUGCUAAUUAUUACAGGGUAAUUUACAAAAAUGAGAACACAGGCUGUGUACAGACAACAUGCUAUUUAAGGCUGAAGCAAAAAGUCAAAUGUGGUUAAAUUAGGAUGGAUGAUGACAAUUAAUGUAAGCAAAAAAAUUGGCUUGGGCUUAGCAGUUAAGGGUCAAAUUAGAAACUGGGCUACAGUCCCAUAACAUAUUUAUAGGUUGUAGGUGAACAGAAGGCCUGGUCGUAUUCACAGGGCAAUCUGUGAACAAAACUUACUUGGGAGUAAGCCCCGCAGGAACUUAGGUUAGAAUAGAAUGGUGCUUUCAGGCUAUUUCCCCCUCUCAAAAUGAAAAUGAAUCUGAGCUGUACAGAAAGAGGGGCUCUAAACACCACAGGCAUUUUUCAAUUGCUUACCCACCACUUUGUAAUACAUAGAAGGAUUCAGUUAUGAAAUUAUUUGUAAGAACUAAAGAAUAGGCUUGUUCAGGGGUUCUAAACUCCUUGCAUGCUUUUCUUGCUUAGCAAGGAAGGUCAGGGCUAGCAUUCAUGGAGUUAUUUGGUGUGGCACAUGUGUAUAUGACUCUGCCCUUCUUCUCCACUGAGUGUCUAGGUCAAUGCCUGAAUGCAGCUUAAGUGCAAAGCUGAUUCAGCAGAAAUAGCUUUGUGAGGAAGUUGUACAUAGGCAGAACACUCAUCCUUCACUGGGAGUAAGCCCAUACAACACAUGCUUCCAGUCCUAUUCAUUGCAAUGGAGCGUUAGGUUAGACACAACUAAUUUGCCCCUUAGCUUGAAUUCAGCUAAACCUGUGCGCUAAUAGAAGUGAAUGCAAGGGCUCCUACUGGUGCACUAGAGCUUUCCUCCCCUUCCCUCUGCCUGUGGUCCCCACCCCUCCCCCAAAUCUAUUCUGGGGGGUUGGGAGAACUCCCAGAAUAAUGUGAAUGGGGGAUGAGGAUAGGAGGGAUUGCAGAAAUGCUUGUGAUGAUGAAAUGAUCAUAUUAUAGUUAUGCUGAAUCCCCCCCCUUUAAUUCCAGUGGGGCAAACAGCCUGACCUUAAUCAUACUUCCCACCCCCAAAGUCAAGUCUUAUUGAUUUUUAGUAGGAUGUAUGUCCAAGGAAACAUGGCUAGGUAUGUUGCAACCAUCUUUGUCUGAACAUGGACCAAUCCAUGUGUUUAGCGAAAGCAUGUGGAUUUGAAAACUACUAAACGUAAAAUACAGUGGUACCUCGGGUUAAGUACUUAAUUCGUUCUGGAGGUCCAUUCUUAACCUGAAACUGUUCUUAACCUGAAGCACCACUUUAGCUAAUGGGGCCUCCCGCUGCCACCGUGCCGCCACUGCGCGAUUUCUGUUCUCAUCCUGGAGCAAAGUUCUUAGCCUUAGGUACUAUUUCUGGGUUAGCGGAGUCUGUAACCUGAAGCGUAUGUAACCUGAAGCAUAUGUAACCCGAGGUACCCCUGUAUGUUUAUGUACAAUUGUGCCAGAUUUCACUUGAAACUGUUUUGCUUAUUUCAGUGAUUUUUAGGCUGCCCUUUGGAGCCAGGCCAUCACAAACUCUACUAACUUGAGCCUCUUAUAUGCUCAGCCCUGGUACAUCCAGCAAUUCAUGUACCACCCCCAUGUAUUAAUACAUAAGGCAGAAUCCAUGUGGAGGGAUCCAAGAUCUUGGCAUGGGAUCAGCAGCCUAGUUAUGUUUGACUGCACUGCAACAUCAAUAGCCAUUACUGACCCUCACUAUUGCCCUUGCCAGCAUUAUACUUGUUUAAGAAAAAAGAAAGAAAGAAAAAGUAUGCACACAAACUAGCUUAAAACUACAUGGUUUAAUAGCCAUGUAUAUUUCUUACACUCGUCUCCAAAAUAGUGCUUUUUGGUUUCUUUUCAUCGUUUGUUUAAUCAACACGUCAUUAGCAUAUUAUGCACUCCAGCCAUCCAGCCAUUACUGAAAAUAUUGAAUCAUCUGAAUACUGGUGUAGCCCUCUCUUAGACACCUCAUUUAAUAAUUCCUGCCAACUUGACAACCAGCCAUUAGCAGUUAGAGAGGGAGAAGAAUUUGCACUGAGUAAUUUAUAGGAUGACUUUUACCUUUUUAUCAUUGCAAAUUGUUUGUGAGAAAAAUAAAAUUGUCAUCUAGAGUUAUCCACUGAAUAAUCACUUGGGCAUCUACUGGUUUACAAUCACUGGAAAAAUUCCGUAUACAGAUUUCUUUUUCAAGCAAAAUAACCUUAACGGUGGUCUUUUAACCAAACGACAUGUUCUUGUUUGUUAUUUGUUAAACAAUAUUGUUAAGCAAGAGUGCAUGUGAAAUAUGCUUAUAAGGUAUCAAUUCUAUAUUCACUCACUUGUGAACAAGCACCAUUGUAUUCAAUGAUUGAAUCCAGGGCUGUUUUUCAGCUGGAACACACCGGAACUCAGUUCCAGCAUCUCUCAGGUGGGCGCCAUUGCCAUUCUAAGAGAACGAGGGAGGUGUUCAUCUCUUUUUUCUGGAAAAAUAGCAAUGGUUGUAGCCAAGUGCAAGCUGAAUUCUGCUUAUGCAAUGCGACUUCCUCUUCCUAUCCUUCCCUUGCACACUUCCAAAAUCUACCCCAGAGGAUCCUUCAAUUCUCUUUUGUAGAUUUUGAAGGUCUAUCAUGUGGGGGAGAGGAAAAAGAAGUUCCAUUGCACCAGCAGAAGUCUGUUGCAUCUGGAACAAUAGCAAUGGAUACAACCAGUGCUUUUUCUGGGGGGACCCAGGGGUACGCACACCCCUAAACAUUUUGUGAAUCUUUGUACUUUUGUUCAUUUACUGUAUUUAUUUUUCCCAAUUUGAAAUAUAAAGUGGUGAUUUUCUUGAGUCAAAAUGACAGUACCCCUAAACACUUUUUAAGGGCGGGAAAAAGCACUGGAUACAACCCAUAGUUCUGAGCAGACAUAUGUAAGAUUAUUCUGUAAAAAUAGUUCCGGGAGUGUAAUAGGUAAGAAACUUAGGCUGCAAUCCUAGGUACAUUGACUUGGGAGUAAGUUCCAUUGUGCCCAAGGCUUGAUUACUACAAUGCACUCUAUGUGAGGCUUGCCUUAGGCUUGGAUCACAAGCUGUAGCAGGUGGAAAGGCAGUUGGUUAACUGGAUCAACAUAUUGCCAGCAUAUAACUCUUGUGCUUUUCACUGGCUACCAAUAUGUAACCAGGCCAAGUGAAAGGUUUUAGGACUGGUAUACAAUGCCCUUAACAAUUUGGAACCAGCGUGUCUGAGACAUCACCUUACCCCCCGAUAUACCAGUACAUGCCUUAUGCCCCUGGGGUCUGUCUACUCAGAAUGAAAUUGCUAGGUAGUUUUAGGCCAGCUCAGGAACUGUCUUGUGUUUUAUUGAUCUGUAAGCUGCUCUGGGAGCUUUUUUUUUUGGCUGAAAAACCAGGUCUACAGAUGCUAAAUAAAUAAAUAACAUGAGUUUCUGUUGUUGCUAUUAUUAGUUCCUUGAUUUUGCGGAUAUCCCUGUUACAAAAAUUGUUGAUAGAAAUAUAUGUGGAAAGUUGACUGGGCUCAUAGAAUCAUUCCGAGUGAUAAAUACUCAAGUCCUCCCCCUCCCCCACCUUCUUCAUAUUUUUACAUCAGCUUCUAGGCAUAAUGUUGUUUGCAUUUUGCAUUAGCUUCCUAAACCACUGUGAAAAUGUCAUGUAGAACCAUAUCAAAUGUCUUCCAAAUGUCAAGAUGUACUGCAUUAGAGCCAUAUGAUUAAUCCUAUUGAAGUCAUUGGGACCACUUGUAGGAACUUGGAGGCUUACGGUGGCAAUCCUGCUCCGCUGAAAUCCCCCCAGUUUUUGCUAUUGACUUCAGUGGGUGAAGGAUCCCACCCAUGAACCCAAAUUAGCUAUUUGAUCAUUUCAUUUUACCUAAAUGCUUGGACGUUGAUUGCAUUAAUUGUUCUAAUAAUACACCAGGCUUAAGUUAAACCUUCUGUUGUGGCUAACUGUAAAUGCUAUCAUAUGCAGCUGACCUGAGAAAGGAACAGGCUAUUUUAUGCAUAGUCAGUGGGCCUGCUCAAGUAUUGUAGGGAGAUAAAUUUUGAGGGGAGGGAAUCCACCACAGAUAACCAACAAUUCCUCCACACAUGGUUGUUGUGUAUCACAUAUAAUGUUCUUACCCCUUCAGUGUGCAUGAAUGAGCUCACAUGUAUGCUACUGUACAUACAGAACAUUAAGAAGCAGUAAUACCAAAGAGUGGGCUAUAUCUCUUUAACAAUUAUAUGAAUAACAUUGUAUCAGUUUGUUAUCUUGUUAUGAUAUUCAGGAUAGUGAAUUAGGGCAUGAUCCACCAAACUAAAACACUUCAAAAAUCCCUGUUGAUUUUAGUAGACUAAAGUGUGCAUUUAACAUACCCCUUGAAAUGUACAGUAGUUACAUGAGCUUAACUUGGGGCUUAAGCUUCUCCUGCAUAAACAUACCCAUUCAUUGUGAUCUUCCUGGAUUUACCCUUCCUGGGUGUGCCAGUCUGUCAAAGUCCAUCUUGUAGGCAACCCAGGAGAAGGCCUUUUCCAUUGUGGCACCCAGCUUGCAGAAUUGCCUAAGGCAUGUGCCAACCUUGAAGUGUUUCUGUCAGUCACUAAAAGCUUACCUUUCACCACAAGUGUUUGCUGGUCAUUGAUACCUAGCCUGUUGUAAUUAUCGUAUUGGCCUGAAUAUAAGCCACAAUUUUUUUUCCAAAUCCCAACCAUGAAAAGUUUAAAGUGCGGCUUAAAUUCGUGACCUUACAAAUACGGGCUUUUAUGGGACUUCCGGUGAGGCAAGAUGGCAGGAGCCAUGGCAGUGUGUAGCUCCCAGGACCACCAGCACCAGCAUAAGACACAAUUUUAAGGGAGCAGCUUAUAUUUGGGUAUUGUCUUUUUCUUUUCUUCCCCUUGAAUUUUAAAGGUAUGGCUUAUUUGUGGGUACGGCUUAUAUUCGGGCCAAUAUGGUAUUAUAGCUUGUUGUGGAUGCUCAUGUAUCUAUUGUUUCAAUGUAUUGAUUUUCAUUUUGUCUUCUAUGGCUCUAAAAUUGCCUUGAAAGUUUUCAUGAAAGGCAGUAUAGAAGUGUUAUAAACAAACAUACAUAGCUGGAUCAAGUAAUUCUUUUAUAAACCAUUGACUGACAAAUUCCUGAAAUGGGUAAAUGAAUGAUAUGGGGAUAUUGCAUCAAAUUCAUUUACCUCAAGAAGUUCAGAAAAUGAUACAUUAAAUCAGUACAGGGUUUAGCAACUGUAUCACCUUGUACAAGCUUUAAAUACUUACAGCACAGUAGUCUAUAAUGGCUAUUAAGUUAUAGUUACUGUUACUGUUACUGUUACUAAGUUACUAUAGUUACUAAGUUACUGUUAUCGGCAUCUGCAAAGGAACAUUUCAGGCUGCAAGGAAAGAUUCCUCCUAAAGCGGGGCUUGCAGUCAGUGCCAGAUUUAAAUUCAGUGCCUCCUGCAGUCCCCAGUUUCAGCAGGGAUCGCCUGCAUUCAGAAGCAACUAAUCAGUACCUCCCAAGUGGAACCAACUCCAGAAGAGCUUGCAUUGGGUGCCAUAUUUAAUGUUGCUAAAUGCAAACGCUGCCAGCCAGUGAACAAUUGAGAGUACAUCUGAAGGUUUCCCUUUGCAGCUGCAUCUUUGCCUGAUGCCAUAUGAUUUCAGGUGUGGGGCAAGUGGGUGUGACUGGGCGGAAAUGCCCACAUGGGCUAAUGUAGCACCCCUUCCAGGACUAAUUUAGCAUGCAGGCUGGAGACUCCCCAUUCCUGGUGUACAGUCUUGAUAUACAGGUAGCUCUUCAUGGGUUUCAUCACCUCCUGAUCUCACUACUUCUACCAUGAAGCUGUUGGCCAUGCAUUUUAUUAUAUCUUGAGGUUCUCUGUGAAGUUUGAACUGUGCUUUGUCCUGUUAUGUUUUGGUUGUUGGUAUUGUAUGCCUUUUUAUCUUUUCCUACACUGCUUAGAUUUUUUGAGGGAUGUUUUGGAUGCCAUAAAUAUUUAAAUAAAGCAACAUGCUUUAGCUAUUAUUGUUACUGUGGCUGUAUUCCACCAUUCCUAGUAUAGACCAUAUAAUACAGUAUAUCGUGACAGACAGAGGGAGUCCUCUCCCCAUUAUAUCCUUACAAGAAACCUGUGGAGGCACAUUCGGCUGAGUAACUCACACAGUGCCACACAGUGUUUCUUGGUCUAAAACAAAGUUAAACCCAGAUCGCAACAGGGUGUACUUAGCUUUCUCAAAUGGGGCUUAAAUGUGCUUCAGUUUGGCUGGACUGUAACCAUUAUUCUUACUUUCUUCUAAUUAUAUAGUUCACUGAUUCCCAGAACGUUCUUUCCCUUUCCAUCCAUUUAGCAAUAUCCCCAACAUUAUCUAUUGAGGAACAUAUGCCUUUUUGCCUUUACUUUUACUUAUAAAGGUUACCUCAGAUUACUUCCACAAUGGCAAUCAUAUUGAAUAUGGUAAAUAGGCUACCUUAUAGUGUUCCCCCCCCUUUUGCCUUCAUUGCUGCAUAAUAAACGAGAUGCAUCUUUUCCCACAGAAACCGCCUGCCAUGCACUUGCUAUGUACAGCGUUAAUAUUAUUCAUUAAAAAACUAAUAGCUGACUUCUUAAAGCCUGUAUUGUUCAGCACCUGGGUAGCUAGCUUCAGCUGAAAGUUAUUGGAUUUAGGCAUAGAAGAAAGAUUUGUUCCUUAGUGGCAGGUCUUCUUUUAUAUCUUUAGGCUUGUCACAAAUUAUUUGGCAAUUGGUUUCACUGCUCUUACAUGACAGCUCUGAGCUGUCACGUUAAGAACUGUCUUGUGUCACUGUUCCAUUGGGACAGUUCAGUGAACAGCUUGAAGUUGAACUCCACUCGGUAUGUUUAAAGCUUUCUUCUCUAAGUAUCUAAAAUGAUGGUCCCCCCUUAAAAAUGAUGAUUUAGCUCAAGAAUGGAGAACCCCUGGCCCUACAGAUGUUGUUGAACUCACAUCAGUCCCAGGCAACAUGGCUAAUGGUCAGGAAUUAUGGGAAUUCAAGCCCAAUGCCAACUCAGGGCCACCGGCCUGUCAUGAUGUGUGAAAGUUCUAGUAUAACUCCACCACUAAUACACCACAGUGGUACCUCAGGUUACAAACACCUUGGGUUACAAACACUUCGGGUUACAAACUCCGCUAACCCAGAAGUAGUACCUCGGAUUAAAAACUUUACCUCAGGAUGAACACAGAAAUUGCAUGGCGGCGGCAGUGGGAGGCCCCAUUAGCUAAAGUGGUACCUCAGGUCAAGCAUGGUUUCAGGGUAAGAACGGACCUCCGGAAUGAAUUAAGUUUGUAACCACUGUAUUAUGGCAACAAUGACAUGUAGCAGAAUAUAUCCACCACCUAAUACAGCCAGUGGAGGCUCCUCUGUGGGGCAAAGUGGGGCACAGUCCUCCCAAGAUUCUGAACCCGCCCCAAACCUCCACAGUCAUAGCCCAGUCUUUCUCUUUUCACCCAAAUACAGUGGUACCUCGGGUUACAGACGCUUCAGGUCACAGACUCUGCUAACCCAGAAAUACUACCUCGGCUUAAGAACUUUGCUUCAGGAUGAGAACAGAAAUCGCACAAUGGCGGCACGGUGGCAGCAGGAGGCCCCAUUAGCUAAAGUGGUGCUUCAGGUUAAGAACAGUUUCAGGUUAAGAACGGACCUCCAGAACAAAUUAAGUUCUUACCCCGAGGUACCACUGUACAUUAUUAAUACAUUUACAUUGACUGAGAGGCUACCUAGAUGCUUCUGCCUAUCUCCUCUGCUUAGCCAUUCAAAAUAAUCACUACCAUCAGGUCACGCCACCCUCAUCUCCAGCAAGGUCACCCAGGGAGCAUCAUAGAUGAGCAGGUACCUCUCCUGCAGGUCACUGCUGCAUGAAUAAUGGAAGCCAGGUAUAUACACUACACAACUCUGCCAGUCCCCAUGCUAAUCACCACUAGGCCAGAGAGGAGGGUCAGCGCAGAGUGAGCUCACAAAACCAAUAACAGAAGGCCUGUAAUAUUUCUUCUCUAGAGUACCUCCUGUUUUUCUUUGAAGUUCCUAUUUGCUGGCAGAUGACAGCUGAUGGAUGAAGUGCCCGAUAUAUUCCAUUCUUCUUUGUCUUGUGAUUUCCCAAUUUGCUUAAAAUACAGAUCUCCCCGCUUCCAGGCCCGACAGCUUCUCUCAAGGCAAGCUCUGCUUUAAGUAUGAACCUCAAGCUAACUAGAAUUUCUCAUGUGUUCUGACAUUUUGUACCCACAGUGUCACAGACAAAAAUGGUGGUGACUGCAGAAAUGAAACUAGCUACUUGAUGUUUACAAAUCAUGUUUGUGCAGAAAACCACCUUUUUCCCCCCUAUGAAAAAGUCAACAUAUGAAAUCUACAGAGGCUUUUUCCACUCGAGGAAAUUGUAGGCACAUGUGGAAUUGAUAACGCAUCUCCCUGCAUGCAUGUCUGUGGUUUGCUUUUAUAUAUAUCAGCAAAAUUCUCUUCAUAUGCUACAAUAAUUUUCAAUUAAUCUGCUUUAAACUUUCACUUUUAUGUAAUCUGACAUACAAAUCUUGUUACAUGGUUCUUUUAACGUUAGUCAGGAUGUUCUACUUUAUGAGAUCUUGACCAAGGAAUAUUUAUGUUGGAUGGCUCUCAGCCAAUAAUGCACCUUUUGUUUCAUAAAACUGCACUGUGAAUGGUUUUAAUAGGUGCCUGCAUUGAACGGUGAGUGAAAAAACACCGGCUGGGUAUUUUCUUCAGCCAAGUUGCUGUCUAGUUUGAGGUGAGAAAUAGCACAGAGUGCGUUUUGUGGUCUCAGACCAAACUGAAAUUAAAGACCUAAGAGAAUGUUCCUGGUGAAGCAGUUCUGAAAUGUGAGAGAGCAUGUAGACCAAAAACCAUGAGAAGAGUGCCAUGAAGAACAAUAGUUUUGCUGAUUCCGUAAGGCUAACGAAGAUCCCCUAUUUACGAUAGGAUGUAAAGAACCCAUAGCUCUCAUUUAAAUCAACAAAGGAUGCUAUUCCUCAUGGCCACCCAGGCGGUAUUUAGACUCACAUGGGAUUGAGCUCAUAGAUGGGAUUCAAGGAUUGUUCCCAUAUCUUCAUUUUAACUAAACUCAAACUAAAUGGGAAAUCUCUAAGAAAAAUGUGAAGUUUAACCUUACACUGAAUCUGUGGGAAUCUGUGGGCCUUAUCUUCUGUUACAUCCCAUCAACCAAAUAGUCAUAUUUCAAAUGCUACUUCUUAUUAAUGAUGGUCAUUGGUGUCUUUUUCUUCUUCUAAUGCUACUUCUCAAUGCACACCUGCACAGCUACAGAUAUAAAGGUAAAGGUAAAGGGACCCCUGACCAUUAGCUCCGGUCGUGACCGACUCUGGGGUUGCGGCGCUCAUCUCGCUCUAUAGGCUGAGGGAGCCAGCGUUUGUCCGCAGACAGCUUCCGGGUCAUGUGGCCAGCAUGACUAAGCCGCUUCUGGUGAACCAGAGCAGCACACGGAAACGCCGUUUACCUUCCCGCUGGAGCGGUACCUAUUUAUCUACUUGUACUUUGACAUGCUUUCAAACUGCUAGGUUGGCAGGAGCAGGGACCGAGCAACUGGAGCUCACCCCGUAGCAGGGAUUCAAACCGCCGACCUUCUGAUUGGCAAGCCCUAGGCUCUGUGGUUUAACCCACAGCUUUCAAUAAAUAAUGCUUCUGUGUGUGCUGCUUCCUUAAAUGGGUACAAUAUGUGGCCUGGACUAAUUGCCCCAGUAGGGAUGGUAUGGGAAAGGGAUAAUUAGGCACAAAUGUGGGGGGGGGGGGGGAGGAGCAGCAAGAGAUGUGGUGACUGGCAGUGUAACACAGUGGGAGGUGGAGGAUCAACAAUGGUGGUGGAUAUGGGAAAGAGUGAUUGCCAAGGAGGUAACAAACAUCUCUUUUGUUGGCCUCUUCUGUAAACUGCUUUAAGGUUUUCUACAGUCAAGCUGUAUAUAAAUUUUAUGAAGCAAAUCUUUCUCUCUUUCUCUCAACUCCACCCACUCUAACUCUCUCACAACCAUUUGACUGCCAUCAUAGGAAAUUGCAUUUUAUGAGGAAUUCAAAUUCUGUACCUUGCCUGGGGUUGGUGGUACCCUCUAGGAGGUCAUAGUUGAGUGAGUCCAGGGUGUGGCGAAUGUAUUUUUUGCAUGAGGAGGUGGUGCCUGCUGCCUUGAUGGAGCUUGUAUUGUGACCACUCCACAUGGGGGAAGAAGGUACUACACAUCGUCAAUAGUGGUGGGGUGCCAUUUUGCAAUGUCUUGUGAAGUUUGAUAUGUGAGGAAGAGUGCAACAUCAGACACUCUUUUUUUAAAUAAGAUAUUUAUUGAAAUUUUCAAAGUGUUACAAAAUAAAAUAAAAGCAGGAGAAAAUACAAAAUAAAAAUAGUUAACAAAGUAGAAAAAGAAAAAAACAAACCACUUCCAACUAUACGAAUACAAAUUCAAAAAUAAGAAAAAGAGACAGGAAAAAAAUACAAAAAUACACCACAAACAAUUAAGAACAUUUUAAAACAAAUUCAUUAUUCUCGAAUCCUCAACUGUCAUUACCUUCUUUCUUUGACCUCCUCCUCCUCCCUUUCUUUGUAUCCUAGUUAUUAAUUAUCCCAGCAAAUCUUUUCCAUAUUUCAUAAUACUCUGUCAUUACAUUACCCUAAACUGUUUUAAUCUUAUCUUUCUAUAAGAAAAUAAACCUUAAAGCUUAAAACUUAAAUCUUAUCCUUACCAACUUCUCAUAACCAUAAUAUUCUUUCAUAAUUCUUUAAACAUCUUUACUAAAGCCGAGUAAUUUCAUUCCAACAUUUUUCUGACGUUCAUCAAUUUUAUAAAACAGUUCUAAUGGUAGAAAAAAGAAAUACAAACAGAUCGAAUCUUCAUCUAACGUCCCUUCCUCCUGGUUCCGGGUUUUGUCAGUCCUUAUUAUCCCAUCGAUCUAGCCCAUUAACCUGGCAACCUUAUAUCCGAGGCCCUCAAGUCUCUUCCAUGUCCCUUCCGCAGCUCUUCUUCAUAUUUGUAACUGUAUUUUCCCUUGUCUCCUGCUCGUGGUAACUCCAGCUUGGCAAUAUUUUUAACCCUUCUCGACAGAUCAGCCCCUUUUCCAUAUUCAGCACUGAAUUCCAUAUGGUAUUUAAAAGCAUGUUUCAAAGACCCUCCAAAAUUAAGAGCCCCCACAAUCCCAAACAUCUCACGGCCCAUUGCCAGAUUUGAAAAGUCCAAACAUCCCAGCAUAGGGGGGUCAAUCCAGCCCCCCAUUUCCAAGCCAAACCAAACUUUUUCUUUCCAAAUCUGGCUUUUUCCAAGUUCAUUUGUCAAAUCCGAAAACUCAUAUUCCUGUUGGGCCUGUUCUGUCAGGACACACUCCUGAUUUAAUUCCUGGGUGGGCUCCACAUAUUUUCCCACUGUCUGUUCAAAAUUUCCCACUGCCUGUUCAAAAUUUCUAGUCGAAGUCGCCAUCAAAUUCACCUUCUCAUAUAACUGUUCCAGUAGGGCAUUUGUUUUAUAGAAAGCACACAACAAAGCUUCUGAAUACAUUGUCCUGCAAGGUCAAAUGCCUAUUCCCACGAUUGUAAUCUGUAACAGCUGCCGGCUCCCUGGAGUUGGUUACAGUUUCACAGUCUCCCUCUAGGGGGAAAACUUCUAUUUGUUCUUGCAACAAAGUUUCCCUUUUUGAGAUACUUUGUCAAUAUUUGUUCCUUUAAAAUGCGAAGGGAAACAGUGGAAUCACUAUGUUUCUCUUCUUUUAGCUAUCUGUCAAAAACGUUUGUCUCUGGUCAAUGAACUUCAAACGUCAGUCUCUGGUCAAUGAACUUCAAACGUCACCCCGCUCCAGGAUCAGGACGGAAGAAAGUUGCUUUACUUUAAACUCACUUUAAACAGUCCGAAAAAGAUCCCCCUUCUUCUCCUGCUGUCGAAGGGGGGUUCCACAAUUUUAAAUGAUGAAAUCCAAUCCUUUAAAGGCGAUUUUCUGAGCUCUAGUUUACGUUGUCUUUGCUUUAUUCUGUCUACAAAAGAACGGAAGGCUGACUUCCUGUUUAGACCUUCCCGUUCCGUACCAAAUUGAAAUAGAUUUUAAAGAUCCAAUUCCUUUCUGCUCGCAAGUCCUUAUUUAAUGUCCAGUUGUUCAAAGUCUAAGUACUCACGGGUGCUUAUUUUAGAGUCCAAAUUGUCCCAGGAAAAAGGCAGCGCUCUCCGGCAACGGCUAUGCGGCUUCGCUCCACGGAAAUAGCAGUUGACUCACAGCACCGCGCCACUUCCCCCUCUUCACUUCGGACCCCGUUAGUGGGUUCCUUAGCGAGUUGGGGGGGCGCUAAAGGUGCCCGCCGAGUCCCAUGGUCACAGGCUUCAUCCGCCUGUGAUUUUUAAAAGGGUCCCCGCUUCGCCGUAGCGGAGAAGACCAGUUUCCCGUGGAGCUAGUCCCUCCGGUUCAGAGGGAGUCCGCCAUUGCCGAUGGCGCCACCCCGGAAGUCCAACAUCAGACACUCUUAUUCACAUAACAAACCUCAUGUGUUUCUCAAGAUAAUAAUGUAGACAAAAGUUACUUUAUGCAUCCUAACAUCACAGAUACGCCUUGAUUCAAACUGUUGGAAGUAAAGCAGCAACACUUGCAAUAAGUUACCUGAACCAGUUUGGGGGCAGGGGGCGGGGAACAGACAGAAAGGCAACCUGUUCUUCCCUAGCAAAUUCUUUCUUGUAGAUUGUUUGUAUCUCAGGAUUUACUUCCUUCCUCUUUCUCCUCCUCCAGUCAGUCUUUCUCUGUACAUCCUGGUGUUAAAGCCAUUUUGUUUAGCCUCAUGACACUUUAAUGACCACAAGUGAGCUACUACUCAGAAUGGCUUUGUUUUGCCAGGAAUAAUAAACCUUAAGUUUCUUUAUUCUUUCAACCAACAGUCUUAUGAGACUAUUUGUUUCUGCACUCUGCUGCAAUGUGUGUGUAUGUGUGUGUGUGUGUGUGUGUGUGUGUGUGUGUAAUAACAAACUCCAUUGGGCACAUGUCCUUCCAUACAUAUGAAAUGGAAUAUAUGUCUCAAGAGUCAUAGACAGUCAGGAUUGUCCAGUUCACAAAGGCACAGCAUAACAUUAAUGAAUAUCUUGGUUUGAUGUGUCCUUCCAUGCUGACUGCCACAGAAAUGAGCAUGUGUCAUGAUUGCCUGGAAUACUCAUAAUGAAGCUGGUAUAUGCAUUUAUGCAAAAAGCCAAAGUGGCAUAUAAAACAGAUGCAUGCAAAUAUCCUGGAUCAAAUAUAAUGUGUGAAAAAUGGCAAAUGGGGACCUGUCUUUCAAACUGACACCACAUAAAACCCCUCUCCUUUACUGCAUUAUGCGCCUUGUGCACAUAAUAUCUUGAAGGCCGUUGCUUUUGACAGAUUCAGCAUACUAAUCCAUCAGAGAGGAACGGCCAAGGUGAUUUGGUGAGCGCCAUCUGUUUGUGUAGGUCCAGGGGAUAUGUUUGAACAUUAGGAUUCCAAAUUUGCUAGAACAGUGCACAAUGUGCAGCAAUUCUAUAAGCCACCCCAAGUUGUGAAUAUCAACCUACAGUUCUUAGACAGCCAAAUCCCAUACAUUUAGUAUUGGGAAGAAAAGGAAAUAAUAUCUCUCUCUGUAAUGUUCAUUAUUUACUAUAAUUUCAUAAUCACAUUUUUAUUUAGUUAUUCAAUUUACAUCCUGCCUUUCCUCCCAAAGGAACCCAAUGUUAAAACAGUGCUUGGGGAAAAUAUUCUGAAUUGCUCUGUAAAAUUGUACAUUCUAUAAAGUCAAAGUUUUACAAAAGCAUGGGUUGCCUCUAGUCUAAGUACGUUAACUUAGGUUCCAGGCUCCAACUUAAGUCUCAUUUACUUCAAUGGCAACAUGAUACUAACCAUGUCUACUUGGACUUAAGUCCUACUGAAUUCACAUGGACUUAUUCCCAGGUAUGUGGGAUAGGAAAUGCAGUUAAUUUAACCUGGAUCCAACUCAAUAUCUUUGGAUUUUGUAUUGUGAUGGGUGGGACCCUCUCAUAUAACAUUUGAUAAUGUUAAGGGGGAAAACACAGGAAAGUGAAACAUUUAUAUUGGGAUGAAAAAUUGAACCCAUUAGCCACAUGUAAACCUACUGAUUGGAGUAAAGAGAUUAUGUAUAAAUAAUAUAUGUAUGAUUUUGUUUUCUUUCAAUAAUCAUUUGCCAGUGAUGAAGAUAGCAAUAGACCAUCCUAGGUAAAGGGACCCCUGACCAUUAGGUCCAGUCGUGACCGACUCUGGGGUUGCAGUGCUCAUCUCACUUUAUUGGCCGAGGGAGCCGGUGUACAGCUUCCGGGUCAUGUGGCCAGCAUGACUAAGCAGCUUCUGGUGAACCAGAGCAGUGCACGGAAACACUGUUUACCUUCCCGCCAGAGCGGUACCUAUUUAUUUACUUGCACUUUGACAUGCUUUUGAACUGCUAGGUUGGCAGGAGCAGGGACCUAGCAACGGGAGCUCACCCCGUCACGGGGAUUCAAACCGCUGACCUUCUGAUCGGCAAGUCCUAGGCUCUGUGGUUUAACCCACAGCGCCACCCGUGUCCCAAUAGACCAUCCUACAUAGGGGAUAUUCUAAAAUUCAGCAUUGAGUGCAAUCUUAAAUAUACUAACCAAGGAUUUAUUCCUAUUAAAUUCACCGGGCUUUAUUUCUAGUGCAGCUCUCCAGUCUUUUUCUGUAAAUAGAAAUGAUACUUCUAUUACUUCCAAUAGAUUCUGGGUGUGAUGGGGGCAUCAUUCCAAAUGCAUCAGUGCAAUUAAGUGAUCAAACAGCCCAAGACUGCUGCUGUUCUAAAAUAUAUUUCGCUUUUGUUGCACAGGAAAUCUCAGCUCUUGCUGUCACUGCAUUCUUUGGAUUUCCACAGUCCUUUAGCUUUGAAUGGCAGAAAGCCAAGGACCUACUCUGUUACAUUAUUCUAAAGCCCUCUUUGUAUUUGUCAUGUCAUAUAACAUGAGAAAUAUCAGGCACAUAAUAUUUUAAUAAUGAAGGAAUUAAUUCCACUGUUUGCAGCAUAUAAAAAUGAACCUUUGAAUGACAUUGUUGGCCAGCAGCUUAGGCAAAUGCUGCAUAUGUUAUAGUAAAACCUUAGCUCAGAUAAGGCACAUUAGCACAUUAAUAACACUUAGCUCCUCAUAGCUGUUAUUCUCACAAGAAUUUACAGGGACAAAUAGAUUUGACCUACAGUCAGGAGGAGGAUGAAGGUGAAGUCCACUGGUGCUCGACUUACAAUAUAUUUAUAUUUUCAGGUGUUAAGAGUUUGAUGGAUAUGACUAGUGUUUGAAACAUUGCCGAUUAGUAAAUGAAAACAGCAAGGUAGCACCAUAUGCAGAUAGAACCAUUUAAUUCAGAUACAUGCAUAUAACUCUGGAUGUGAUGACUUUGUUUUCCAGAAUCAAAGUAUCAGCGUUAGCAAUUUAUAUUACCAGCCCUAGGUUGCAGUUACUGCCUAUAACUGAUUAAUCCACUUCAAGAAAGUGUAGACGUAGAAUUGUUGAGGGUUCAGUUUAGAUUUCAUAAAACAGUAUUUUGCAGUGUUAGAUAAUCUUGAAGUUCACUUUUUAUUUGUAUUAAUAAAAAUAAAUGCCUCUAAUAAUACAUAUAUAGCAUCUAUAUAUAGCUCCAAAUGAAGGACAUUUGAUCAAAAGCCUUCAUAGAAACUAAAUUGGUGGGUCACUUACAUGGAGAGAGGAGGCUUACUGUAAUGGUGCCACCAAAUUGCUUGUAGCAUCAAGCGGAGAAUGGCCAUGGAAAAACUCCAAAGGCUACGCUUCCAAGCCCUAGAAGGGACCAGGGACAUUUGUGAGCUGUAUCAGGAGAUAAUUAAGGAAUUCAGACCACUCCUGAUUUCCACCUCCCAACGUAAAACUCCUGCUAGUGCUUGGAGCUGGUUUAACAGGGACUGUAGGUCCCAGAAAAAAGAACUGACUAAAUUGACCCGACAAGUCCAGUUUGUUCGAUCAGACGAGGCCAUUACUCUCUUACAAUGGAGAUAACGAGAGUACAAAACUCUGAUAAGGGAGGGGGAAAGGGCAUACUGUGAAAAUAGCUGGAAAUGUCUCGGCCUUGCUCUCAUCAAGGGGAACAAAGCUAAGUUUUAGAGCCUAGUUCAAGAAGGCCUAUCAGAUAAACCUUUCUGCCUUGUACCCUUCAUAACACCUGAAACAUGGGUAACCCACUUUAGUGGCAUCUAUGGCAGUGAAAUGAACUUAAUCCUUUUUAGGUCAGAAAACUCUUCAAACCACCCUGGCUGGCCACCUGUUUCCACUACAGAGAUUGGAGAACUGAUUACGUCGCUGCAUCCUGGGAAAGCACUGGGUGAAAAUAUGAUCCCUCCUGAGAUAUUCUCCUCAGACGUAAAUUGAUGGGCCCCAAUUAUGGUCGAACUAUUUACUCACAUAAACAUGACUGGAGACAUCCCCUUGUCAUGCCAACCCCGCCCCCCAAAAGGAGACAGAUCAGAUCCCCAUAACUAUAGACCCAUUAGUCUCCUAGAUGUGGCUUCCAAAUUAUACUCACGGUAUCUACUAAAUAAAAUUCUGGAAUGGGACAAGCCAUCAUCCACGAAGAACAAGCAGGAUUUAAAAAGGGCAGGCGCACCAUAGGCCAAGUUUUUGUUUUGUACCACCUAAUCUGUAAAUUCACCAAAAGCCCACAUAAGACUCUCUAAGUUGCCUUCAUUGACUUCUCCUCAACCUUUGAUUUAAUAGACAAGGAACAGCUGUGGAACAAACUGGCCCAUUCAAAUAUCAAUAAAAGACUUCUCUGACUCUUCCAACAACUACAUUGAGGGAACCUCAUGCAAGUGGGACUGGGCCUUCAGGGCACCCUCUCACAAGCAAUUCCAAUUAACAGAGAUGUCAAGCAAGGCUGUAUACUGGUAUUCUUCCCAUUUAAUUACUAUAUAAAUAAUCUCAUUCCUGAUAUGGCAUCCCCAUCCUUCUUUGUCCCCACCCUUGGGAAUUGUAAAAUGCCAAUUUUGCUCUACACCAAUGACUUAGCUUUGUUAUCCCAGAAUAAAAGUGGACUUAGAAGGAUGAUGGUUAAAUUUGGACAGCUGUGUAAAAAAGAGCAUCCAGAAAUUAACUACAAUAAAACCAAGGUCACUGUAUUUGGCAAGAAGACUACUAAGUCCAGGUAGACUCUAGACGGUCACACCCUAUAGACGGUCACACCCAGAUUUAAAUAUCUAGGAUUACUUAUCAAUGGGAAGUCAUCAUGGAAAUCCUGUCUGGAAGCAAUUAAGCUAAUAUCUGGCCAUUCUACUGGGCAGCUAUAUAGGUUCUUCCAUUCAAAGGGUAGACAGUUAACCAACCCAGCUAUCAAGAUCUUUGUCUCUAAAAUCAUCGCUCAAAUGCUUUAUGGGGCUGAGAUAUGGGAAAUUGGUGUCAAAUCUGAAAUGCAAGUCCUACAAAAUAAAUUUAUGAGGCAGAUUUGUGGGCUUCCUUGUGGGACACCAGCAGCCCACCUCACAGCCUAGUUGGGCCUUCCCUCGCUAGCAGCCAGAAUUGAUCUAGUCUACCUGAGAUACUGGCACAGGCUAAAUGCCUUGGAAGAUCAUACUCUUACUAAGCUCUGCUGGUUAGAGCAACUAAGGACAUGGAGCUGGGCACAAAAGUGCCAAGAUAAGUUUAGGGCUUAUAAUCUCCAAAUGGAGAACUACUUAGCCCUUAGCCCAUGUGACCUCAGAAAUUGGAUUUUUGAUCAGGAUGCCAACCAAGACAGAGUAUCCAUCAUUGCUGCCUGCUACUCUACUUGAUACCCCCAAAUUAAGACCAGUCACUCAAGGCCCCAUUACCUUGAGACUCUGACUUUUUCAUAACUAUGUAGGGACUCUGUAGAGCUAAGAUUUCAACAGAUGCCCUCAGCAUAUUUAGAGGGGAAUUCUUAAUUGGCUUCCAGGUCGAUCCGCACAGGAAGUGACAGUUGAAUUCCUAGCAGAUAAAUAUCUAUAUAUGACACACCAGGUAGCCAAAUUUGCACUGGCAGCCAAGAAGCUCCAUUCCAGCUAUGUGAAUGCACUCCAAUUUUAAGUCUUAAUGUUGUAAAUUACUUCUAUAUUGUAAACUGCUACAGGUUACGUGUAUGAUUUUUGAUGGAAGUUUCCUUUUAUUCUCUGUCGUCCAUUGUAAAGGCCUUUGGCUACAUACAAUAAAUAUUGAUUGAUUGACUUGAAUCUAUAUAUAGCUUAAGGUAAGCAAUAGUACUACUUAAACAUUUCUUGUUCCAAAGUCUAGAUCUUAAGAAUUCCAUUGUUCAAAGUAGGAGAGCAUUCCAAGUUUCUUGGCCUUGCUAUCUCUUGUAAGAUGCUGCAAGCAUAGGCUUAGGCAAGUGAGCUUCAUAUCGUAGGAAAUUGGUAGUUCAAACUUUAGAGCAUAUUUAUAAAGUUUCUCAGAAUCUUAUCAUGAGAAAAUAAUAACUCACUGUCUCAUAAAUUAGGCUCACAAUCCACUCUAAGCUAUUUUAUCAUUUAUAAACAUUCUCAGAACUUUAACAUCAAUACAUCAAGUUUUACAACUAUCCUUAUCAUGACAUCCAUGCAUUCAGCUUAUCAUGAUUACACAUUCCUUAACCUAAAAUUUAUUGACCAUUAAUUGAUAAACAAAACCUUUAACUACAGUUAUGUCCUUGAAUGAAAGAUUGAACUUUCCCCAAACUUCAGAUAAACCUUUAACCUCAAACAUUAGUUUUAUGAUUUCAUGUUCUUUCUAUUUAAUAAAAAUGAAACAUUCUGCCUUGUGAAUGAUGCUAAUAUUAGUUACUAAAAUUCAUUAUCCUCUUGCUUUGAGUCUGUGUCCUUUCUUAACAUAAUGAUUGCUUUUAUUUAUGUAGCUCUGCAAAUUCUUAUAAAUUUGUCACAAAUCAUUUCCAUUGGUUAUGACUUGUUUCCAUUAAAACAGAAUGCAUUGUGUUCCUAUGGAGAUGAAUUACUAUUAUUAUCAGUAGCCAUUGUUGGCAAUUCCAGGAGAACUAAAGCUGGCUAUACUGUGAUAUCUGCUAUGACAGUCUGGGAUAAGGUGAUGCUCUGUUUUUGAAGGGUUAUACUGAUAUGAGUAUUAUGCAUCAGAGCACACAAUGCAUUUCGAUUAAUAGUAGAAUCAACAAACUGUAGUCUGGGUUAUUAUGCAAAGGAGACACUCUAUUACCGUGUUAUAGUAGUAAAGAAUAAGUGAACAAGUUCUGUAUUCUCAUAGGCUGUCUUAGUCUGCCCUUCUGGAACAGAGAAACAUCAAAUGACUGAGAAAAUUGUUCCACCUCACAGGCGACUGGUCUAGAGCAAUAGUGCCACUCCCAUGAUCUCUGUUUUUACCAGUGUUUUAAGGUUCCAAGCACUCACAGCAGGAUGAAAGUCUCAUUGAACUCAGUGAGACUUUUGGAUUUGCUGCAUGAGUAAAAUAGAAAAAGAUUAAAGAAGUACUUAGGUUUUGAGACAGCUGGAAAUAAAGAUAACUCAUUCAUGUUGAUAGAUUAAUAUUUUGAUCUCAUCCCACCACUUUAGCAAGGAUCCUGAUGCUUCCUAGCCCUAGAGAUGGGGGAGAAAAUUGUUUGAGUUUCCAUUUAAAGGCCGGCUUACCCAAUUCUCUGAAUUUUGCAGUGCUGCUCUCCAGCCAAGCAAUGUGUACAGAAAGAUAUAUAUCCUGGGAUAAAGUGCACAUAGAAAUGCAAAUAUUAUCGAAAAUAAAUUGUUUUGUUAAGCAAAAUUGCUUUGCAAAAAAAAAAAAAGGUGCUUGGCAAAAUUGCAUAUAACAAUGUAUACAUUAGGUAGAAUCCCUACUAAAAUGCUAAUUAAUUUUCCUGAGAACUUUCUUGUUUAAUUGCAAACCGAUAUGGAGAACCGAACUUAUGAUUGGAAAAAUGAGAAACCAAGAGAAUCCAAAAGUGUCAGAUUUGCCCUUCCCUCUUUUCCCUCUCUCCCAGAAAGCGAUACCAUCUUCACAAGAUGUAAAUACAACAUUCACAGAUGGCCAUCAUCUCUGUCCUUCGAUAGUGUAUAAAUGAGCUAAUGCAGCACUUGCUUUACUCUGUCUUAGUGCAUAGGAUCUGUUUUUGGACUGUCACUAUUCUGACAGACAAGGAAGAAGGACAAAAAAAGGAAAUCAAUAAAUAAUGGCUGCAUCAUAUUGAUUCAAGAGUUGCUUAACAUCAUCAGGAAGGAGUGGUGAGAGUUGGUCCCUUUUUCAAUACCCAGCUGACAAGAGAAUUCUCUGGCAUGGUUGCUUUAUCAAGUGUCACCAUCUGUAUUUCAAACUUUUUUUUGGUGGAGCUCUAUAUUGCUUUUAGGCAAAGCACUAAAUUCUAGAAAUUACCCCUUGGCAGUCUUUCUGGAGAUAGCAUCCUUGCAACUUAUACCACCUCCUUUGAAAUGAUUCUGGAUCUAUAGUGUGCAUUAGUCUACUGGUGCUUCCAGACUGUUGCUAUUUUCAUGGAGGAGUAAAUCACAUGCUGGCAAAUUUAGGUCCCAGAAUUAUAGGUGAUUGGGAGUUCUUGUGCAACAAACCCACUUCCCCAUCCCCCCAAAAGAUCACAACUUUUUGUGAUAAGAAUGGAGAAAUACGCUGGAAAGUAUGGAAUGACACUUGCUAUGAUGCAACAUCAAUUAACCCACAAACAACUCAGAAUGAAUGCUCUUUAAACAGCUAACAUCAUCUAAUCUCCCCAGAAACAAAUUGGAAUGAAUACUCAAUAAAUGAGUUUUCUGGAAGCACCUUGUGAAUCACAAUCCUUAUCUACUCCCCACCUCCCUCAGGACCCUUCUGAACGCAACUCAGAUGCGGUACUGCACCAGUGCUCAUUCUAUUCUAUGGAAACAAGGCUUCAUCCUGCUGAUAAUCUUCUGUCUCUUUCUGUUGGGGUUGCAUACUGUUUUUAAUGUAUUCCAUUUAUGCCUUGGGCAGAGGGGGACUCUUCCGGCUUCGCAACCCUAUAGAGAUGGGGGAUGGUAAUGGAUGGGUCUGAAGCUCCAACAGAAAAGGAAAUGUGUUCCUCUUCAAAGUCUACUCUAUUAAAACAACUAUGUACACUUACUUGGGACUAAGUACACAGAAUGCAUUAACUACUUCUGAGUUCAUGUAGGAUAUGCAGUUCUGUUGAAUGACGGCACCAUAUAAGUGGAAUGGAUAUAGUUCUCAGAAAGGCUACAAAAAGGUAGUCAAAUUUCAAUGCUCCUGUUGAAUAAUUACUUAUGAUCUGAAGUACAGAAGAAUAGAAGAUUUAUUUCAUAGUCCACCUUUCCUUCAAGAAGUUCAAGUUGGUUCUCCCCUUCGUUACUUGACCCUCACAACAGCCCUGUGAGCUAGGUUAGGCUGGGAGACAGUAACUGGGCCAAGAUCAUCCUAGUGAGCUCCAUAGUUGAGUGGGGAUUUGAACCCUGGUCUUCCAUGUCCUAGGGCAGCACUCUAACCACUACACCAUGCUGGGUUUCUCUUACUCUUCUGAAACAAUGUCCCUGAUUCCCUAGCUUCUUGUUUUCCCAACCAGUUCAUGAAGUUUGGCUACUCCACCAACUCAAAGGGAAAUCCGGGGGCUACAGCUCACUAGCCUUCACAGGUGGGUUAUCCUGCCUGCAUGACUUUGGGUCUACUGAGCCUCUUGAAACUCUCAUGUCCAGAAAAGUGAGGAGAGGAUGAGGUGGUGGUGAGGUCAGUGUGGUGCAAACACACCUGUAGAGCCAAUCCAGUGUUCCCAUUUGUGCAUCUGCAUUUUGCUGGCUUCACCUAUCCACAUUCCCAUGUGUUGCAGCAAUGCAGGCUCUCUGCUUCUGCAAAUACUCUUCCCACUUCCCGCUCAAAGGGUAAGCCUUUCAGAACUAGCCCUGAAUUCACUCUCAUUAGUCAUAGCACAAAGUACCUGAUUCAUAGCUGGUUGUAUCACUUCCUGUGAGGUGGAGAGUUACCCCAUCUGAGAAUGCUCACUUAAAUGAAAGAAACACAGUCAAAUAUAAAUGAAUCCUAAACUGUGGAUUGGCUUGAAAUUUCAAGUAGCCAUAUUGACUUACCUGUUUAGUAAUCAGACAUGAUAGUGAUGCUGAGUAGACAGUGUUAGAUACCCCCCCUCCAGCCUCACUUCAGAUUAGCAUGCUAUAGGAGAUGUUCAGGUGUUUUUAAAACAUGAUUUACUCUUCCCCGUUAGAGUACUGCUUGGAAAAUCUUGGUUUUUCCCCCAGUACAUGAAAUCAUAUGCAUGUCGGUAUAUCUAAGAACUACAUAUGCAAUAUGGCUAUCUCUGCAAAAGCAGAACGAGCAUUGUGUCACAUAUUAGGUGAUACUUUUGCUUGUGAUGGGUUGCUUAAUUUAAAACAAUGAGAUGCACUACGUACGCAUUUCAAAUUCAGAUGCCACCCAUAGCCAAUUGUAUCAUUUUUUCACCGUAGGUAAAAUGUACUACCCAAACUUCUUGAUAAUAAGCUUAACCUCUUUGUAAUUGAAAAGUGAUUCAAAAUGUCUCCCUCCCAUGCUUUCUAUUAGCUUCUGUUUAACAUAUAACAUAUCAAAUACCCUGUUUUUUCCAUCACUCUCUAGGUCUCUGCUCCUUUUGGUUUCAGGAGAACAGCUCAUACAUAAACAUAUUCACAUCCUAGAUUGGUAGUGACAGUUUAUUUCUACUAUCCUGAUGGAUUGUACAGGAUAUCUACAGCUUUCUUCACUAACUAGACAACCAAGCGUGGACUGCAAAAUUAAUCUUGAAAUGGCAAGAUACCUUAGCAGGCAGAAUCACUUCCACACAUGUUCACUUGCUUCAACGAGAUAGCUUUUCUUUACAGAUUCUUCUGUAUCAAGCAAUUUUAACAGAAUAGACUGAAUACACUGCAGCUUGCUUUGGGAUUUUUCAGACACCUGGCAGGCAAGCAGGCAGGGUUGAUCUGUAGAUCUACUUCCAUUUGGGGGUCUACUUUCAUUUGGGGAUUUGGGGAUAAAGGUAUGUAGGUAGAAGUUUGGCAUCAAUCUUGAAGGGUCGUGUGUCAAGUAAAUAUGUUUUAUUAAAGAGGUUGUGCUGGGCAAAAUCCCCCAAAACAAGGUUUUAAAAAGAUAGAAUUGUUUUACAUAUAAAAUGGCUUUUGCUUGUUUUUACAUUUUGGGGGGUUUUAUUGACUGUUUGUGUGGUGGUCUUUUCUUCUUCAGCUGUACAUGUUAUUGUUGUAACUAUUGUGGAGGGUGGGGUGAUUUUAAAAAAACCAAUCCUCUUGUCACACUGGGAAUAUUUCCUUACUCACCCAGUUUAGAAUAUUCCACCAUUCUUCAGCAGAGUUUCUUUUCUUUCAGCAAAGUAAGUGGCUCACGUAUAUGUCAAACAAAGCUUUAAAAAUAAAGAAAACUGUAAUGUAACACAAUAACAUACAGUAAUGUCUGAGAGAAACUAAAACAACAUGAGGCAAGAAUGACGGUUGGUCUCUCUAACUUAACUUAACUUAACUGAACACCUGAAGGGAGCGACUGAUUCCGGAGCAUAACACAAAAGCCCCGCCCACCAGAUGCCAGACAUCCAACUGAUCAAAUUAGGCCCCAGUGUUUUUCUUAUAGUGACUCACAUGGGCAGGUAAGAAACCUAAGAAAUAAAUACAUGUACAGUGAUAUCUCGGGUUAAGAACUUAAUUUGUUCUGGAGGUCUGUUCUUAACCUGAAACUGUUCUUAACCUCAGGUACCACUUUAGCUAAUGGGGCCUCCCGCUGCCGCCGUGCUGCCAAGCAAUUUCUGUUCUCAUCCUGAAGUAAAGUUCUUAACCCGAGGUACUAUUUCUGGGUUAGUGGAGUCUGUAACCUGAAGCGCCUGUUACCCGAGGUACCACUGUAUAAAAUAAGUUGUGGUUUUAACAAGGCCUCUGGUUAGAUCCCAGUCCAUUGUUUUCAAAGGGAUGGCUGGUUCAAAUGUACAUAGAAUCAUGUUCAUCAUUAGAUUUUACCACAUUUGAUUAAUUAAGGCUGCAGUCCUAACACCAAUUACCUGGAAGAAAGCAGCAUUGAAUUUUGAGUAGACAUGGUUAAGGACUGUUAAUUGCUAUUAGCUAAACAGGUAAACCCUCUUCGUUGAACUGAUAUGAAAGUCUCAUCUUUGGGAUGUUAUAUCUGUAAUUAUACAUUCACACAUUGCAGUUACCACUGGAUACUAAAGUGAUGGACAUGUAUGUAUGAACUAAACCCUUGACGACUGGAAGCCAGUAUGUGCAACUGACUGUUUUGGACAACAGUAUCAUAGGAUACGAAUGUUCUGUUUGUCCCGUUGUGUGUGUGAUGGUUCAUUCUCAUAUGCAUGCCACCGCUGAAUGCUGCAGUGGUUAAGUGAUGAAUGUGCAUAUCUACACCAGGUCUUAAUUGGUACUGAGUGUGCUAGUGUGUGGCCCUCAGUGCCCAAUGAUAUCAUCAGCCUGUGUGUCAGCUGCUAGUCAUUCUGAAUGUGCAUAGACUGCAUUGUGCAACACUUGCUGUCUUCCAGCUUCUUCUGCCAUCAUGCAGUAUCCUAUUGCUCUCCCUUCUUGGUCCCUUCCUCCUGUGAAGUGGCCACGUAAUUUGCUCAGGACCACCAAACACAUUGCCACGCUUUCAAAUAACUGCAAUUUCAGAUGAAGAGACAGGUGGGCAUGCAGAUCUUGUUCUGUUUUUGAAAUGUAUAGUAUUACAAUCCAGGAGAGUUUAGACACACAUAUCAUAUAAUCAUAUUUCUUUAAUAUCCAUUGAAAACUUAGGCAUAAGUAUGCCACAGUUAAUUAAAUGACCUAACUGAUGAUUAAAUACUCUUCUGGUUUGACAUGAGUAACUGUACUGUGCGAUGUGGUUCUAUAUUAGCAGAAACUACCAGAUGACAGUUCUGCUGGAAAAGAAUGAAUGUUGAAGUUUGCCUGCAGGAAAGGCAGCUGCAUGUCAACUGCUCUCUGAAUCAGAAUAAAAAGUUCUCAGAUGAUUUCAUUCCAUCUGACUUUUUCAUUCUCCUACAGUAAUGGAGACUUCAUUGAUGGCAAGUCCAGUACCAUUUACCACAAGUAGAUGUCAAGCUAGGUGUUGGAAUACAUUAGCAGCAUAAAUGCUUAUGACUUCUGAAGCCUUAUAUAGCCUAGACACAGCAUAUCUGAGGGUAGGCCUCUCCUAGUAUGAACCCUCUCAUCGUCUAAGAUCUCAUGGAUAAGCCAUGUUCCACGUUUCCUUCAAAAAUACGUUUGGUUGAUGCUCAGAGUAAGACCUAGAUGCUUCUAUUGUUAUAGAAUGUUCCAUCUAAGCCUUUUGCUGCCUGCUUUAGAAAAGGACAUAAACCAGAAUUAUUUCUCUUAAUUAUAUUUUCAGUCAGAAAGUGGCACUAUAUUUUUAGUACAUGAAAUGACUCACAUUUUAUUAUUCUGUUCUUCACAAUCAUGAGAUGUAUGCUACUCAGAGACCCAUUUUACAUGUGGUAACUAUGAUCAGGAUGGAAAAACUUUCCCAAGGCUACCAAUGAAGGCCAAUUAUCUUGAUCUGACCACCAUAACUCAAGAUAGGACCUGCAUGCCAUUUAUUUUAAAAACUUGCACCCCUCCUAAUUUUUGAGGAACUCAAGGUGGCAGGGGGUUGGACUCGAUGGCCCUUGUGGUCUCUUCCAACUCUAUGAUUCUAUGUUUCUAUGAUUCUAUGAUUCUCAUUUUUCCUGAAAGUCCCUGUAACGUGUAAUACUGAUCUUCAAGUGGGCCCAUAUGCAAUGCCCAUCCAGAAAAGCGAAGAGUAUAAUCAGGCCUAGGCUAUGCAUACACAUUACGUUUAUAAUAUGGAAGUCAGGCCAGCAGCUGGGUAGACAGGAGCAAUUCUGCAUUCUUACCACAUGUUGACUAUAGCCACAAUGUUGCCAAAUGCAUGAGCAGGAAAUUGAAGGUUGUAAAUUGAGCUAAACUCAAAAGAAAAAAACAAGGAAGGAAUGGGAGUAAGUAUAUUGAAUUCUACUGGAGGAAUAAAUACUAGAAGCUGCUCUAAGUGCAAAACUUCAACUCUAAUUAUGUAUUCCUUGAUGAUAAACAGUAAUUGUACAUAGGUGGAGGGUAAGAUACUUCUUUUCAAAAGUAACAUGAAAUUGGGAACUGGAUGAUUAACAAAAUGUUAAUUGCCAAAUGCGCUAUGUAAUUGAAAAUGUGAUAACUGCCAUAUAAUUCCAGACAUUAAUGCAUUAGUGUGGUGUCCCAAUUAUGAAAAGCCCAAUGCCUGCAGCUACACUAGGUUGGCAGAACACACAGUACAGAAUUUGUCACCAGGCACUUGUAAGUAUCCCCCUUCACUUUAGCCUUUGUUGGUAUCAAAUAGUUAUUUUUGUCACUGUUCAUCGGCUCACAGCAUCAAAGCUAGGAAUGUGCAUGCCUCCCAUCUGCCCUGUGGCCCAUGGAUUCAGCAGAUCUUCCCUGUGCUACUCCAAAUCCACCCCAGAAACAAUUUGGGGGUUGGUUUAAGUGUUUUUAAAGGGAGUUUUAAACACUAACAUACAGUAUUUGACUAGGACCUGGGAGAUAAGGGUUCAAAUCUCCACUCAGCCAUGAAGCUCACUGGGUGACCUUUGGCCAGUUUCUGUCUGUCAGCCUAACCUACCUCACAGAUUAUUGUGAGGAUUAAAUAGAUUAUAAACAGAUAGAUUUAUAGAAUUGCAGAGUUGGAAGGGAAUUGCAUGCCACCUUGAGCUCAUUAGAGAAAAAGGUGGGAUAUCAACGCAAUAAAAUAAAGUUAAAAUAGGGUUUAAAAAAAGGCCGGAGGGGACACACCAGCACCAUGCAGGAUUGAAUCCCCCUAGUUAACAGCUCUCUGAUGCUGCUUGGUGCUGCUGGUUUGCAAGUGCCUUCCUUUCACAAAAGGGAAGCACACUGCCCAAUGAAUCUACAAUCAAAUAUCACUUGAACUCAUGCUUCUCAGAUGGCAGAUGGCGCAAAUUCUACGGUGGACUAAAAUUAUUUAUUGAAAGCAGGCUAUGGAGGUUUAAAAUAGAUUUUGUUUUCUGGCUCAAACCUCCCCAGAGCAUUUGGACUGGCUGCUCUGUGGAAAGUGAAGCGGUAAGGCUCAAGGCAUCCAUUGGCUCUCUAUCUCCUAUAUGUUUUCCCUCCAGAAUGCCAUUUCAGAUUUCAGUGGUUUGGGGCAAGAUUCCAAGCAAUAUUUAAAGGUCUGCUUGCUGAUACAUUCAAGGUUGAAUUUAAGCAAAUCAGUGCAGUGAAGAGAUUUAGUUAUGAUACAGUGGUACCUCGCAAGAUGAAUGCCUCGCAAGACAAAAAACUCGCUAGACGAAAGGGUUUUUUGUUUUUUGAGCUGCUUCGCAAGACGAUUUUCCCUAUGGGCUUGCUUCGCAAGAUGGAAACGUCUUGCAAGUUUGUUUCCUUUUUCUUAACACCGUUAAUACAGUUGCGACUUGACUUCGAGGAGCAACUCAUAGAACGUGGUGUGGUAGCCUUUUUUGAGGUUUUUAAAGACUUUGGUGAUUUUUGAAGCUUUUCCAAAACUUUCCCGACACCGUGCUUCGCAAGACGAAAAAAAUCGCAAGACGACAAAACUCGUGGAACGAAUUAAUUUCGUCUUGCGAGGCACCACUGUAGUUAUAUUUUAAUGCUAGUGCUGUGCAGGGAUAGCUCCACCAUUAGAUGCUGGGAGACAGCGGCAGAGGAAACAGAUAGUUGAAGGGAGAAGAUUUGGCCAGGUUACUGAGUGAUGCAGCAGUUUUGCUUUACAAAUUAAACCCUGUUUGGACAUAAUGUGUGGUUCAGUUGUGACAUACAAUAGCUUUGGUAGUUUGCUCCUGGUCUUUUGUUAGUAACAUAAAUCAAGCUAAGAUUUCAACUUCUGCCCCCGAGUCCAAUUCAGGUCUUUCUUUUCCCUGCAUAGUUUCCAAGAACAUAAAACUCUUUGUAAAAUCAAACUCUAUAAUGAGGCUAUAGACCUUGGGCCCCCAGAUUCUGUUGGAGUACAACUCCCAUCAUCCCUGGCUAUUGACUAAGCAGUCUAGGCAUGAUGGUACUUGCAAUCCAAUAGCAUCUAAGGACACAAGGCUGAUGAACACUGGACUUGUAUGCCACAAUUCUCUGAAAUGUGACUGUGUACUCAUGUCAGAGCAUAGCUUGCUCCUGCUACCAGCUAGGGUUGGAUUCACAGCAGCUACAGAAAUGCUGAAACCACAGGAGAGAAAACAAGAAGGUUUUGAGAAUGAUAACUAACCGAAACCAGUGUUUUUUAUGCUGCACCUCCCACACAGUUUUAAAGUUGAAGCCUAAAGAGAUUAACGCUAAUGAAGUGAAAAACAACCUCUAUGUGUUGCACUUGAAAUGAAUGGUAUAUGGGUAGGGGAAUCCCUCUGCAAAGCAAUCUAAGGGCAAAAUAAAAAAUAAAAAAUCAAUCUGCUUGUUCACAAAGCUUGGAAGUUUCAUCAAGAACAAACUGACUUUUCAUGCAAUCAAUACACAACAGAGGUCUCUUUUACUGCAAUGGUGAGAGCUCUAAGGCUCUAAUAAGUGUAUCAUAAUUUCGGGCUUUUCAGCUGUGUGUAUCAAAGGAGCAUAUGUCACCACCCCUGAUAUAUCUCCAAGGAGAACAUGUCACCACCCGCAAUAUACAGUUGGUAGAACUGAGGCACAGAGAUAAAACCUUCUGUCCUAGAUUUCGCAGUCUGAUAAUAACAAAAGAACUAUGGAUAAUACAUACUACUUCAGCUGCUCUUCAUUUUAACCUGUUCUCUUUUUUAAAGGAAGUGCUUUAUUUCUAUUCUCAGCAAAUGUACACCUAACUAUAGACUGGAAUGCUGGUGGGGAAACAUCGAAGGUGUAAUUACCUGGUAAAUGGAGGGUCCUCCCACUUGGUCCAAUAUGCAAAAAUGUAAUCCAGAUCACAAGAACGUAAAAGGAAGGGUUGCCAGCAACAUAAUACAAGGGCUUCUUGCCAGGUAAGUACUGCUUUGAAACGUCAGAAACUCCCAGUCCUGGGAGGAGAAAGAAUUACAGGAAUGUGCCUAUUAUCAGGUCAUCUCUAUAGACAGCAUUGUCUGCCAUGACUCACAAGAUAGUCUUUACAUCAGCUACUACAUGACGCUUUUAAGGGUUGGAAAUAGCAGGGGUUGAACCUGGGAUCUUUUGCAGUCCAAGCAUGUGCUCUAUUAUGGAAUUAUGGGCCCAGAGGAAAAAGCAGCUGUUCUUUCCUAUGCUUAUGGUUCUGCAUUCAUUAUCACCUUGAGAUAUGAAAUGAUAUCUAUGUAAUUGUAGAAUGGCUAUCUCAGCCAUGGAAAGUAUCCCAUGACACACUUUGUUUAAAGAUGGUUGUGACGGGUGCCAUUGGUAGGUAGGGUGAUUUACUCACUCAUUCUCUCUCAUACACACUCCUUCUCUCUCUCACACUCUUUCUCUCUCUCAAUCCUACACACUGUCAAGGCUUUGGGAAGUCUGUUCCUCCCCCAGUGACAGCAAGAAGCAGAGAGAACAAGGUAGAGUCCUUGUUUAUUCAUUCAUAAUAGUGAGAAACAAAAGAAGGCAGCAAACCCUAACAAUGGCGUUGCUCCAACUGGGCUCUCCCCCCCCCCAGCAAUAGCAUUCCCCCUUAUGAUGGCCACUUGUGGCCAAUUGUCUCUGAGUCCUUUGUUCCUGCACUCUUAAUGAAUGCUGAGUUCUGGGAGAAGGGGGGCUAGAAAUAUUCUCCAGUGACGACGAGUCAGCUGACUGCUCUGCCUGUGUCUCUCCCCCUCCUCCUUCUAACACUUCACAACUUUUCUGUUCAUCUAUCUCUGAGCUGUGAUCCUCCCCAAACCUCUGCUGUAAAUCAAUGCAGCACCAGGAGAACGGGGUGGGGGUAGGGUGAAUCCCACCACUCCUCCUCCUAUUUCGUCCCCUUGAGUCCAAUCCCUGACACACACACAUAUUCACUCAUGGACCCGCAUACCAUCUGCCAUGGCUGGUGCCUUGGGUGGACAGGGCCACCCACACGUUCUCUACCAUGUGUACUUAUUGACACACACCAGUGUGUGACUGCAAAUUUCAUUGUAUGUGAUGAUGAGAUUGCAGUCUGUGUACGUCCCUGAUAAAAGGGGAAUAAAUAUGAGUCAAGAAGGAAUGGACUGAGGGAGAUGUAUCUCUGUGGUACAGCAUCUGUUUUCCAUGCAGGAGGCCCCAGUUUCAAUCUCCAGGUAGAGCUAAAAUUCUAUCUGAAAUCCUGGAGAGCCACUGCCAAUAGGUAUGAAGAAUGCUGAGCUAGAUGGACCAGUGUGGUGUAGUGGUUAGAGUGUUGGACGAGGUCCCCUGGAGACCAGAAUUCCAGGCCCCACCCAGUCAUGAAGCUCACUGGGUGAUCUCAGGGUUGCUGUGUGGAUUAAACAAGGCAUAGAAGAACUGUGCCUUGGAAGAAAGGAGAGAUAUAAAUGUAACAAACAAAAUGGUCUCAUUUCGUAUAAGGCACCUUCCUUUGAGACGGCAGGUUUAUGAGAAGCUCCGCCACAUUUAUUGGGAAAAAGGCAGAUGAGGAGGGCCUGAUUUGGAUCAAGCUACAUGAGGGCACUGAGACAGAUUCAAACCAACAGGAUUCGCAACUCAAGCCAACAUGAUUCACAAAAAGGCUAGAUUUGUGUUUUCACAUCAAAGUAAAGUAGCAGGCUAAUAAAAAAAAAUCCUGUUCUUAAUGUUUACUCUACCUCUUAUUCCCCCAGCUUCCAGGAGAUUUUGGACAAAGCCAAUAGCCACUGAUCUUGUGAAAACCACAGUGAAAUAUUAAAUACAGUUUCAGAAGAGAAGUUCCUUUCACCAGACACUUAUUUAAAAGGAUAUAGGGUUAUGGAUUUUGAACUGCUCUAAAACACUUCCCUGCCUUGCUCUCUCUCACCAUGUAAAAAAACAACAAAAUACUGAGUGAUAUACUCCUAUAUUUCUCUUUGCUAGAAAACUCAUACAUCUUGCUCUGAUUUCAUUCAUAUGCUUGUCUUGUUGCCUUUUCUUCAUUUUCCAGUUUUCUAAGGAUACUAAGAUUGUAUUGUAAAAUCCAGAGGCACUUUAAAUAUAUAUAUUCUGAAUUUUUAUACCAUUUAAUGCUCAAAUGACUUCUGAUGGGCUUACAAAACACAGAAAUCAACUGUACAACUUUGUUAAAAUACAGAAUAAUUAGAAACACAUAAUUAAAAUACAUAAUAAACCAAUCUCAUGAAAAUAAUACAACAAUGGACACAUUGCAGCACAAAACUGAAAAUUUAUUUUGUGACCUACCUAACAAUAAAGGUAAAGGUAAAGGUACCCCUGCCCAUACGGGCCAGUCGUGUCCGACUCUAGGGUUGUGCACCCAUCUCACUUAAGAGGCCAGGGGCCAGCGCUGUCCGGAGACACUUCCGGGUCACGUGGCCAGCGUGACGAAGCUGCUCUGGCGACCCAGCACCAGCGCAGCACACGGAAACGCCGUUUACCUUCCCACUAUAAAGCGGUACCUUUUUAUCUACUUGCCCUUAGGGGUGCUUUCGAACUGCUAGGUGGGCAGGAGCUGGGACCGAAAGAUGGGAGCUCACCCCGCCGCGGGGAUUCGAACCGCCGACCAUAUGAUCGGCAAAUCCUAGGCACUGAGGUUUUACCCACAGCGCCACCCGCGUCCCUAUAACAAUAUAUCCUCUAUAACAAUAUAUCCAAUAUAUACCUAACAAUAUAUCCUCUUAAAAUCUAGAUGUCACUCACCAUUUUCAUUGUAGAAGCUACCUUUAACGAGCAAGGCUUGUUGCCACCUUGCCACAGCCUUUGGCCUUGGGAUCUCAGUGGGAUGGCAAAACCUGCUCCUGUGCUGCUUCAGAUGCUGAAAUGUUUCCCUCCACUAUCCAACCGAUUCUGCACAUAAGAAAAUGAGCACGUCAGGGAGAAGGCUAGGCUAGAACCUUUCUCACGACACCAAGGUUUCUAGGUACAGAAAAUCUUUGUGCAUAUAAUGUGGGCUUCCGUAUGCAGAUCAAAGUAGUACAGCCCAGGUCCAAGGAAGACUUACUAAAGACUUAGUAGUCUAAUAUUAGAUCUUUAUUGACAAUACAUAUAAUAAAUGAAGAGGUGGAAAAACAGUCAGAGGCAGUAAGAAGAUGUUUUCCUUGUUCUAAUUUUGGAACAAUACUGCAGUUUUGCACAUGACUCACUGCAAGGCAGCACCCUGAUUUUUAUAUGCCAAUCUGCAACCUGCAACACAAUGUUUACCAAUAAUAUUAUUUCUUCUUCAUGCGCUGAGAGAAUCAGCUACUCCUCUCCAUUUACAAUGUAUUUCUUUUAGCAUUGUAGUGGUGUAGGUUGUGGCAGCUGUCUUAAAAAUAUGUUGGGGUGUGUGUGAUGCUUGUAAUAGGGACUCAACUUGCAACACAAUACAGUAUGAUUUUACUUUUCUUAUAGUGAUAAUGAGUUUACCCACAGACUUCAGAAUAUGUUGCUAUGCGGAAAAACAACCUCUUCUAUAAUCAUCUCCACAAGCCCAUUAAAAGGAACCUGCAGGAUUGUAUCACCCAGAGCUUUCGAAAGUGUCAUGUUAAAAACAACAAGAACCACCAUAGAAGCUAGCCAAAGUUAACCUCUUUUAUGCAUAUGUUAAAUUGCUUGUUAAGAGCAGUGUGAUUUAGAUAUGCUGAAUGUCGACUGCACCACAGCUGUGCCAUUGUUACGUGCACCAAAUAUUUAACCACUUAGAUAUUCAUAAAUAUAAAAUUUCACUCUCUCUCUCAUCUAAACAUUUGUGCCUAAGAAACUGGGAGAACAUUUGGAACACAUCUCCUCUCCCCAGCAUGGAGGCAAAGUAAUUUGCCGGAGGAUGUCUGUGCCUCGUUGUUGCCACCCCCAGCUAUGGCUGGUUUAAUGUAUGUUGCACUCUUUCCAUUUCUUAAAUCCACGCUCAAUUAACGAUCUGUUACCAAACCGUUCUCCUGGUCUAACAUCAGAGUUACAAGCCAAAUGACGGCAUGGAAAACAGAAAGCAGCCUUUAGCAGCGGAGCAGUCCGUGAAUGCUUAUAGUGUAAACACCUACCGGGGUCGGAACACUGACCGUUUGUACGAGGAUGCGAAGGAUGUUUCAACAGGAGUUGCUGGUCAUCUUGUGCAAUGAAGUACUACAGCUGUGACAAUGUUGUCAUUUGCUGCUUGCAUAAAUAGGUGACGCACUUUGCCUACCUGGCACUUGUACAUUUGCUGACAUCAUGGUACACACAGCUUCUUGAGGUAUGCAGAUGGGCUUGUUACUCUGAUAAUGGAUACCUUUUUAUUUCUUGGACAUGAAGCCUUUAUGAGUUUAAAUGAUAAUUAUAAUAUAUAUCUGUUUUGUAAUCAUUUUGCAUAUUUUAGCUGUUCAUCUACAUUUUUAUAUUAUACACUGCUUAUUGACUGCCAUUGUCUCAGACUUGCAGGGCACUAGUCCUCCACAAGGCCACCCAUAUCUAACUUCUCAAUAUUCAACUAUGUUUUAUAAAAGGAACCCUGUCAGUGGCAGUAGGGGUGGGCAGGGUGCCUGUCCCACGGAGUUUAGCUGCUUCAGCCUGCCUCAUGGGUGGGCUAGCCCUGAAAAUGAGGCAGGAUUAAGGAGAUAUUUAUGACUCAAAAUGCAGGUAAUCAAGCAGGGGCCAAGUCAAUCAAUUGUAGUAAAGGUAUGUGACGUUUCAGAAGAUUAUGGGGAACUCAAAUGGUGCUGCACAUAGAGGCCUCUUUUCCUACUCAAAUGGUGUCAGGUUGAGAAUGAAUCAAAUGACAUGCAUUCCUGAGGAAACUUGAUUAAUAGCAGACAGUCACUGUUGGAAAGUAAUUAAUCUGAGUGCUUAAGCACCAAUCACCAAUAAUCCAACUAUGGAGGCAGAGUUAAUUGAGCUGCUGGCUCUGAUCAGGGCUCAAGCAAGCAGUCCCCAUAAGGAAGAGGAACAGAAGUAGGAGACUCCAAUUCUGUACAUGCCCACAUUGGCAUCACCGAUGUAGAACCAGGGCUGUCUUACCCAUAGGCGAUAGGGGUGCAGGGCACCCAGGUACUGGGUUCUCAGGGGCACCAGGCUGAGAGUCCAGGGCCUGAGAGUUAAGUCCGGGGAAGAGUCCUCUCAUCAGUCGGGCCGCUGCAGCGGGCUCUUCUGCUGCGGGCAGCUCUGCGCCACAAGUUCAGGGGUGACCGAGCCAGUGAGACGCUGAGCUGGCCAGCCAGCUCUGCCCUCCUGUGUGCCUGGGACUGGGCAACCUGGGGGGGGGUGUGGCACCGGGCGGAUCUUUCCACCCCAGUGCCGAAUAUACUUAAGACAGCUCUGUGCAGGACCACCCCCAGCUGGAGGAAAGGCUUUUGCAAAUAUGUUCACACCUUGGAUAAAUUUGAAUGAAGAACAGCUUAAUGACUCCUACUGGAGUGAAAUUGGCCCAAGAAACAACACAUCAAACGAUAUUAGUAUAUAUGUGUAUGGGUGUGCAUGAUACAUAUGCAUUUUAUCAGAAUGCUGAUGACAUUCAGCUCUGUUUGUCUAUUAAAUCUGGGUAACUAGAGGCCUUGUGUAAACUGAAUCAGUGCCUGGACAAGGGUAAACAGACUGAAGUUGAAUCCUGCUAAGACAAAGACACUGAGUAAGUGGUUGCCAGGUCCAAGAAAUUAGGAUGCGUUGUUCUUGAUGGUGUUGCCCUCCCUCUGAAAUAACAAGUACACAGCUUAGGGAUGCUCUUUCAACAAUUUUUGUCCAUGAAGGUUCAAGUGGCUUCUGUGGUGAAGAGCGCCUAUUUCCUGAACAGGAAAAAUUUGGCCACUGUGACACAUGUGUGGGUAGCCUUAGCACUGGACUGUUGGAACGUGCUCUCUGUUGGGCUUCCCUUGCAGCUGAUCUGGAGGCUAAAGCAGGUGCAGAACUCUGAAGCCCAAAUCAUGAGUGGUGCUCCAUUUUGGGCAUAUAUCAUGCCAGUGCUGAGGGAACUGCACUAGCUGUUGUUUCUGCAACUCACAUAAAAAGCCCUGAAUAACUUUGAAAAAAGUUACCAAAAAGCUGUCUUCCCCUCCAAGGGCAUUGCACUCCACUAUUAGCACCUGGUUAGUUUUGCCAUGGCAUGAUCAUUGGCUUGUGGUAACAAAAGGCAGACUAGUGUCAUGGGAUACCUUCUCUGCUGAAACAUGAAAGACCCUCAUCAGUAUUGGCAAUCUGCCAGCUCUUGAAGGCAAGUAUUGCCCUGAACUGACCUUCUGAUCUGAAUGAUUUAGCUGUCUUUUAACUGUUUUAAUUGCCAUGCUUUUUAACUGGCUUCUUUUAUUGUGCAUUUUAAUUAGGGAAGCUUUAAUACUUUGGCAGAAUUGUUAUUGUGCACUUCAAUUAUGUAUGUAUAGUUGUAAACCACUUACAAGCCAUUUCGACAUAUAAGCAGUAUAUUAAUUAAUUAAUCAUUGGACUUUCCUUUGGAGUUAUGGCUGCUUUGGCCACCUUUAGGCUUUUCUUAAUGGUGUGUGUGUGCUUUUAGCUUUACAGACCUCAGUGUCCCUCAAGGAUUCUCAUUUGUCUUUAGUCCCAUUUUGGUUCCAAGCCAGUGAGAUCUUAGUACCAGAGUUCCUGAUUAGAAGGAAUGUUAAAUCCACUCUGAAUGGAAAAAAAGAAUAAGAGCUGGUGCCUCAUGGUCCAGACAAAUCAUAUAUGAAACCACAGCUCCAACAGGGGCCUACAAAGUGAAAAACUUCCAUACAGUGUGAGAAGUCUUUGAUAAUCAAAGGCCAUGCUAGCAAGCUUGUUGGGAACCAGUGGUUAAGGGUCUUAAACUAGAAACUGCAGUAGCUAUGCUUGUUCACAAACUCUAUACUUCUAUAUUCAAGGAUUGAUCCAAAUUUGGCUAUAGUGCAGCUUAUUUUUACUGUAAUUUACAGUCUUUCCAAACACUUACAUUUUUUAGUUCUGCACUGACUACACACACACACACACACACACACACACACUCUUUCAUCCAGGCCUUGGGUGAAAAUGGAUGCACUAAGGUUUGGCACUGUUGAUGAUGAUUCACUCACUGGACUGUAUUUUGUAGGAUAUUUUCAUUAUAAUUUUAAGUAUUCUGUAUUAAUUUUUAUUGUUUUCAUGUAAAGAUUGUGUUUGUAAAGUGCCCUGGAAUAUCAGGUGAAGGGGAGUUUAGAAACUGAAGAAAUAAAAUAGGAGUUGAAGCCUGAUAAUAAGUCAUAAAGCAGUCUUAUUUUCCAACAUAUUUCUUCAAGUUACAGAAAAACAUCACUUCAAUAUCUAUUGCAGAGAGACAAAAUAUUAAUGGUGAAGUAGGGCAUCAUUAAUACUAAUUUAAGAGGGGAGAAAAGGCUCUUUUUAAAAUAUAAAAUGUGUAUGAACUGCAAUCAUUGUCUCUUGGGCAACAAAAUCUAGAUCAAGAGCAACAUUAGAGUUGCUCUCCUCUGUUUGUAGAAGUGCUACAAUCAUCAUUUCUUUUGCUCACUCAGGGUGUAUAAUUCCAAACCCAUGGAAGUAAACAGCAGUCUACCCAAUUACUUGGACCACUUAAUGCCAGCCUUUUCUUUGCUUUUAUAAAAUUCUCAGAAAUCUCUUCAGCUGAUUGCUCAUCAUACUUAGUUCUGUUCUAUGACUUCUAAAAUAAAAAGCAAACAAACAGAAUGCAUUCCUAUCAUAAGCUAAUCCUAACAGUACAGGAAAGGGUGUGUUGCUGAUCCUUGCACAAAAUGUAUUAAGUCUGAGCAGAUUGGCAGGGGGGAAAUGUGCUCCAAAUAUAACCCGUUGAGUAGGCCUGCAUAACUUGUAUGUGACCUGCCAAGCCAAAUGCAGCCCACCUACCUUGUGGUCUGCGAGGAGCUUGACAACCUUCAUUUUUAUGCAAUUCCAGGCAGGCAACAAAAACAGAAGUCCUAAUAGGCCACCCAUCUCAUAGUAGGUGGGAUGUGGUUGUCAAAGCGAGUCACAAGUUGUGCAGUCCUGCUGUGUAAUGGAUGGCGAAUGCCACACUUAACAUAUGCUUGACAUUAUAAAUCCCCAUGUUGGGGAGGGGGAAAUAUACCUCUGCAAAACCAUAAUGUUAGAAAUAAGACUCUAGCCUAGCCUUUUCCUGCCAUGUUAAUUUGGGAAUAUUUUGAUGUCUUCCCCAACACUGGGGGCAGGGGGGAAAGUGCAGCCCACCUCCAAGGUAACCACAGCAUCAUUUUACACAUGAGUAAAACAUUAAUAGCACACCCUCUAACAUUUUUCUGAUGAAAAUAGGGUCAUCCUAUUCUAUCAUCACCAUUUUCUUGUUUAUACCUGUCCAUUUUAAUGGGUUGCCCCAGCAGCCACUCUCGGUGGCUUCCAUGAUAUAAAGAAACAUAACAUAAAAAAACAUAAAACUUGUACACACACACAACUUCCCUAUACAGGGCCACCUUCAGAUGUCUUCUAAAGGCUGUAUAAUUGCUUAUCUUCUUGGCUCAGGGGGUCACAUAAUUCAGAUUUACUCCCACCCAUAUUCACUCUGGCAGCUGCUACAAAAAAACAAAUAAAACAUACUUUUGGGAGAUCCUGACUAAGGAUCCUUCCUGACCAUUUGAUUCGGAGUCCUGUAAAUGAAAAUUGAUUCUUAUAUUUGAAAUGAAUGAUUAAAUGUUAGUUCUGGUACUAUGCUUUUGUAAUUGAAUAUGAAUCACUCCCAUCAUGCUCACUGUGCCCCUUAGUGCCUAUGAGAGAUGAUGAGUCAUAACAGAGAAGUGUGUGCACAAGCUGUACAACAGGAAGAGCCUGGGUCAAACUUCACAAAAGGGAGAAUGUGAAAAAGAUUCAAUUCCUGUAUUUAGAUUUUUAUGCUGGGCACAGUCAUGCAUUUAUAUUGUGAUACUGACACUGAUAAACACAAAAAAUAAUAAACUGGAUUGAAAAAAUGUUGGGGACGGCAUUACAAAUUUGUAAGAUAUUGUAUGUUAUGUUUUCUGUUAAUUUGAUAUUCGAUAACUCUGAAAAGAGAAUACGUAAGUGAAAAUUGGUUUUCAUAUUUGAAACGACUGGUUCAUGAAAUGUUGUUUAAUGAAAUGUUGGUCACCCUAUUACUUUCUUGUAAUUGAAAAAUCUCCAAAUAAAGUCUCACCUCAGCUAUGAGCUCACUGGAUGGCCAUAGGCAAACCUCAGAUCCCUGCCUGUAAUACAGUGUUAAUAAAUCGGUCAGAUCUAACAAGGGCUAUUGUAAGAGUGAAACUGCAGGUUUCAUGGGAAUUCUAUGGUUGGAGAGUUUGGAUUGGUGCCAUUGUGCAAAGAGAGGGCAGGUUUAAAAGUGUAUAAAAUUUAGGGAAUCAGCCGUUGUAAACAGGGUCCGGGCACAACCCUUUAUUAGAUGAGCUCCUGAAGAAAGAGUGUUGCUACUAUUUAUGAGGCACCCUAAACACCAGUUGGUGGGGAGCAGCAACAGGAGAGGGCUAUUGCCUUCAAGACCUGUUUGUGGGCUUCCAGAGGUAUAAGAACAAUGGCUCAUCUAGACGAGCUUCCUGUUCUCACAGUGGCCAACCAGAUAACUAAAGGAAGCUCCAAAGCAAGACCUGAGCUCAAAAGCACUCUCCUCGGUUGUGAAUCCCAGUAACUAGAAUGCAGAGGCUUACUGCUUCUAACAGUGGUUCUAGAACAUAGCCACCAACUUUAUCCAUGCAUUUUACAGCCAUUUGAGUCAAUGGCUGUCACUGCUUCUUGAGGGAGUAAAUCCCAUAGUUCAGUUAUGCACCAUGUAAAUAACUAUUUUCUUUUGUCCUGAAUCUUUCAGUGGCAUCCAUAUGGCCAAUGUGGGAAACCGGAUGGGGGACAAGAUGAACCAGUAGUCUGAUCCAGCAGUGCUCACCUUCUUAUGCUCUUACCUUUACUUGACUAUCUCUAUAACAACUCUGCAAGGAAUUUGCAGAGACCAAAAAAUCACAGUUAUAUUACCCCUUCCUUGCAUAAUAGAAGGAAGGAGAGAGAAAGAGAGAGAGAGAGAGAGAGAGAGAGAGAGAGAGGGAGAGAGCGAGAGAGAGAAUGAGAAUUUACAUUGGGAAAAUGGAUUGGAGGAAGCCCGCUUGCACUACAGUCUCAAUCUCCAAACAGGGUUUGUGAGGUGGCAUUUAGGAGAAGAAAGAUAUAGCUAAUCAUGGUGCUUGUGGAACCCCGAGUGCUUCAAAAAAGCAAAAAGCAGCAGCAGCAGCAACAUAAUAUAAUGUUUUAUUGUAGAAAGUGAGCGGAAGUGAGCAAGGGGUAAGAUAUGUAGUAAAAGGAAAUCAAGGUAGCCAAAGUUAGUGUUUUACCUAUGAAGAGACAUCAGGAAAAUACUGCACGUGAACUUGGGGACUUCUUUCUCAGCCUCAAAUAUGGAACUCUGCCUUUCAAAAUUGUUUUUAGCCUUUUAGCACAAGUUCUGCCUUCCCAGAACCUAUUGUUCUUGUGAUGCAAUUGCCUAGGCUUUGGUAGAGCACUGGCCUUUGAGGAAUAUUCUUAUAAAGUAUGGGUAGAUUUUUCUUUUUUAAAAAAAUCCACCCUACUGUACUCUCAAAGUGCAAGAGGCAUUGUCUUGGAUGGCCAUUGUUUUGUUUCUUCUAAGGAGGCCGAGAGGAACGACUGUUGGAACGUUACUUUUUCUCACAAUGACAAGUUGGGAUCAUUUUACUGUUUCCACAGCUGCAGGGUGUUAAAUGCUGACUGCACCCAAUUCUGUGAUCAUUGUACUGUAUCUAACACACCCAGUCAAGUGUUAGAUCUAUUGCUGGCACGGACCCUUGCCUUCCUCUGGCUGUUGGGCUCUGAUAAGUUAAAGUCCUCAUGUGCUCCAAUUAUCUGCCUAUCAGCUAUGAGAGCUUCUCAUUGACCAUCACUAACCUUCAUUUGACUUUCUGCUUCCUUUUGCAGCAACCCCCAUCUCAAGCCUUUCUCCCACGCACAGCCAAACCAAGCAUUUUGUGUGUGUGUGGGGGGGGGGGUUAGCCCCUCUCAGCUUUGAGGUUUUUAAAUCUGACAUAAUUUGCAUCAUUACUCUGAGGAAAAUAUUCUGCCACCUUUGGGGCAUGAGGAGAGAGCUUCAAAUAGGCUUCAGGCAAUCACGGAGCUAGGGGGAAAAGCAGGGGAGGGAGGAGGUAAUGGUUUCACAUGUAUGCACCUGUCAAAAUCUCAGAAGACAUUUGGAGAUAUGCUGAGAUGAUGUACCUAUAUAUUUUUUGCUUUGUUUGAACUCCCCAGAGGGUCUGGAAGCCUUCCCGUUAAUUAAAGAGAAAGAUUGGGUCAUUAAUUUGAUUCUCAAUUAAUUUGUCAUUCAGCAAAGCCUAUUUAUUUCACCAUGAAAUGCUGACAAAGGAACGCAAGAAACUCAGGUUGCAACCAACUUUUCCAUCUAGCUCUUCUCAAGCUGUGUGCAGUGACUAAUAGCCAUAAGAGACAUCUCAGCCACUCUCUAUUGAUCAUGUGGAAACAUAAGUGUGAACUGGAUUGUAUACAGAUACAGCUGGCAGACAUUUCAGUGAUUUCAACAGCAGCAACUUUUCCAGCCAUCGCAAUUAUAGAAAUUGCUGGGUGGAUUCAGACAACCAUUUACCAGAUUCCAAGUCAACAUGCAAUGGAUGCAGCCACUUGGUAACUUAGCUGUCUGUAUUGCCUUGCCAAGUACUAAGAAUUCUUACACACAUCAGGACUAACUGUAGGUAAAAUGUGUGGUAAAAACAGCCUUCUGUAUCCAGCUGUGGCUGUAUCUGUGUGUAGUUUUGUCCACACUUCUGCUUAUUUGACAUGUAGCAUAUGGUUACAUGCCAUCCCAAUCUGAGUGGUGUGAGAUUCCAGGGGUACCAGGCAUGCUUGCCAGGGUCUGUGUUCCUUUUAGGACAACGAGGCACAGUGGAGUCUGUGGUGUCUUUGCAAAGUAUGGCAUACUGACACAUAUAUACAAGCUGUGCCUAAUUUGGAGGGGGUUCUGAGCAUCACACUGCAAGUGGCACCACCUUCCAAAAGCAGCAGCAUUCCUGCUCCGCCUAAGCUUUAGACAUUUGUAACACAGGGAGUGGCCUCCACUCCCAUGAUGUGUUGAUUUGUUAAUCUUCUGUUGCCUUAAUGCAGGCUUCCUCAAACUCGGCCCUCCGGAUGUUUUUGGCCUACAACUCCCAUGAUCCCUAGCUAGCAGGAUCAGUGGUCAGGGAUGAUGGGAAUUGUAGUCUCAAAACAUCUGGAGGGCUGAGGUUGAGGAAGCCUGGCUUAAUGGCUCACUUCCCACUUAAACCAUGUGGAUAUAGAGUUGCAUCUACAGCAGCACAAGCAGAUGCCUUCAUCUGUGCCAGCUCUCCCAUUUCCCAUUACAUCCACAGCAGGCGCUGCAAACUUCACAUUCAAAGGCACACUCUUCCAUUGUCUCCCAAGACUAAUGGAUGGUAACAAUAUAGAUGGGGUCUAAUACACAACUUAGGUCAUCUGCCUGACUUCAUUAACUUUCGCACAUGCUCAUUCCAGGGGUUUUUGAAGUGGGUGUCACACACAACCUAAUACACACUCAGAUCUAUCUUAAGACACAAUGGUCUGACAUCCCUUUUUAAAAUACCAUUUCUAAUUAAAGUCUAACAUACAUUAUAUCCAGGCAUUUAGAACCCACAGACCUAUAACAAUAUAUUCCUAAUAAAAACUGUUUGAAAAUAUCAGACACAUUGUAUAUCAGUGGAUGACUAUGUAUGUUGGAGUGUGGGCAUGGAAUCAGACUGUGUGUUUGCAAGACAGAGAGAGGCUUUCUUAUAGCUUGGCCCAGGCCAAACAAACAUUUUCCUACCUAGUAUGAGAGAUAAGUGAAGGCAUGAAUAACAGAUUCAGGGAAAUCAUGGGUACAGAUAAACUUAGUAUUGCUUUGGUCCUGCCUCACUUUAUGCCUGGGAAUAUGGCGUGGGGCGUGGGAGAAAGGAAGAUAAACCUCAGGCUCACUUCAUACAAGAUAGAAAACAGAAACCUUACUUUGACCAGGAUUCUUCUCUGACUUUAGAAAUGGAACAAAGAGCUACCAAGACAUUAAAAAAAGAGAGAAGAAACUGAAUCUACCAUUUGCUCAGCGAUGUCACCUUUUAAUCUUUAUGUAGGAAUUUCUUGUGGAAGGCAGGAAUGAAUAGAGUAUCUUUUGCGAAAAGGAGGGGAGACAUGCAUGCAAGUGGGAGAAGGAGACAGAUGGAGCUUUGUGGCUGGCAUUUUUUUGAUAGAUUGCAUGGAGGUGAUGUGUUAAGAUAAAAUGCCAAAGAUGUAGAGUUACAAGACAGCAUUAAAAGGCAACAGCAGAAGGUGGAAGGAAGUUAACCACCUCUCAUCUUUCAGGUGAACAGAAUAAUCAGAUUGCAAGGUAGAAAGGUGUUUCUUAACUUUAGGACCAUGCGACUGCCAGGUGCUUGACAGCACUGUUGUACCUGCAGUGUCAGGCAGUGGAAAAGGUGAUACAGCAAGGUCGGGGGGGGGAGAUACAUGAUUAAUGGUCUGUGUUCAGCUUGGUGAGUCAUCAGUUGUGCAGAACUACUUAACCCUCAUCAGACUACUGCCUUUUCUUCUGAAUGACACAUAUCUCCCAAUACCACAGUUGCUCAGGACAAGUGCGUUUAAACAUAUAUGUACACUGCUUUUCCAUGUUCAGAGAAUAAGCCCUUCCAGAACACAAAUGCUUGGGGAAAUUUAGGUCAAGUGGUGUGGUGUUCUAGGGGGAAAUUAUUUCCAAGGCAACCUUGACCUUAUUCCUCUUUGCUGCAGGUUUCUAAACUAAUGUAUUCAUGAUAGUGUUCUAGUAGUGGGUUUUCCCAGGGCCUUCUGCAUGAUAUCUUGCCUUCUAUGAGUCUGAGAACUCUCUUUGCCAAUAUCACAGAGGAGCAAUGGGAUUUCAUUAUAUUGGAACUCAGGAAAGAGUAGGGUUUCAGAGGCUCUAUACCUGCUAAAUAGAGGAUGGGGAAAGCUCAUUCAGUAGAGAACAGUUAGUGGUACGCAUGGAACCCUUUUCCUCUUUGUGACCAAUCCAAUGCUGGCUCUUAUUCUUCCAGCCAAAAUGGAGACUUUUGAGUAAAGUUGCUGGGGGAACCAUGUUUCCUGGCUAACAACCUACUAUUAUUUGAUAAAGAGUUACUUUCCCCAGUUGUAUUUGUUGCACACUCUCUCAGUGGAAUUGGUAUUUAUAUAUUUAUUUUUUAAAAAAUCAUAAAAUUUAUACACCAAUUGAUUGUUAAAAAAUGUAUUAUUUCUGGAGUGCUGCCUCCAACACAAGGCAUCCAAUUUGCUAUUUUUAUAUUUAUUGUAGAGCUUACCACAGCUUGAUUCCAAAACAAAAAAUAAGAAAAAAAGAGAAAGAACAGCAUCUGUAGCCUAGUUCUGAGCAAGUUAGUGUCUGUGUAGUGCCACUUCAUAAAGCUCUUUCAAACAAAACACCCCCUGCAAAUAGAAAUGUAGUGCAUUAGGGGAAGAUUUGGCAAAACGAGGCUUUAUUUCACCCUGGGUCAAAGACCCAGUUUAGCACACACACCCCUCAGGCAUUUGCGCGCGCGCACACACACACACACACACACACACACACAGGCUGGGAGUCUCUGGAGGCUUCACACAGGGCAAAAAACUGCAGCUAGCCAUCCUGUAGCUACGGCACUGUGGCUAGUUGUCCAUGUGCUGCUGUACACAUCUUACAUGGAAAAUCCAUUGCCUCAGAUAAUGACCAUCUGCUGCCCUUCAGAGAGAAUAGGCCUUAUAAGAAUAAAGUAAGAAUAAUGUAACUUAGCAGAAGAAAGCUUUGCAUAGUCUAUUUCAAGGAUGUGAUAACUUUACCUGUUGCUUGGAAACACUAAUAGUUCCUUAAAAAUGGGAAAUUAAACCUUUCAAUUCCUUUGAAUAUUAACAUGUAAUCCACCCUUCACUGUGGCAGAAGCAGCCCCUGGGUAUUCUUAAAAUUAACAGAAUUUAGUUUUCCACUGACAAGCUAUGCAUUAUAAAGUUUAUACUAUCAAUCCGUAAGACUGCAACUUCAUAUACACCAGAAUCAGGCAAAAGGGAUCGAAAAGGAUACUAUAUCCAGUUCAGGUUGUUGGCAACAAAGAUACCCAAGAAUCUAGAAAAUCAGUCCUGUGAAGAAAGAACUAUGAUGUUUAGGUGAGAGAAAAAUCACAUCAAAGGGAACAUCUUCUGAUUCUACUUCAAGAGACAUAAAUGGAUGUCAGAAAGCCUUGUUCAUUCUAUCCCCCUCACAAGAAAAUAGUGCAUGGGCUUCUCAAAUUUUAUGACCAUUUUAAUGGAUUUGAUUUUUCAGUGAUUAUGAACAGAUCUGGGAACAAACACCAGGGAAUGGCAAUCACCUUCAGGCCUGGUCUUCUAUUUGAGAGACUUCUGGCUGCUAACUCUUGUUGGAAACAGAAAGCUAGUCUAAGUGAACUUUUGACUGGUUGAGGAAAGCUAUUUUCCUAAGAUUAUAUUUUUGUACUCAGAUUAUGAAAGGAAGCAAAGGUUGUAAAUGAGAGAGGAUUAGAGUUAAUACACAUAUGAGCCUGUGAAAUAGAUAUUUCCUAACUCUGUGUUUCUAUGAAACCUUAUAGAUAUUGUCCAUUUCCUCUGUUCUGAUUAUACCAGUGAGUAUAACUUAACACCUGACUGGGCUGGGCCUGCACUGAAAUUUGGAUCAUGGCAGAGAGCCCCAAUUCAUAGAGGCUCUUCCACUUCUAGGUCCACAGCUGAACCCUGAUUCAGGAAUGCAUAGGUAUGGGCUUCUUCCCUCUUCCCAUGUACUAUCACAUGAAGAUGUAGUUUCAUGCCAGUAGCUGGGCACUUCACUAGCAGCCCUUAAGCACCCAACUCACUGUCCCCUGUGCCCCUGUAGGUUGGAAGGGUGGGGUGGGGGAUGGAAUCUGGACAGCUAAUUUGGAGACAUAUAAUCCUAUAACUGAAAUGGUGAAGUCUAAAGUGCUGUUUGCUGUGGAGACUCUAGGUCUGGGCAGAACUAAACCAUGAUAGCUGUAAACCUGCCUCAACUAGAAUACCGCUACAAAUACUGCAUUUGCAUUUCAUGGGGAAACAAAAAACGAUCUUCUGUACAGUGGUAGAUGCACAUAACUGCCUGGCCAUGAGCUGACACAUUUUCCCCAUUGUAAUCAAGAAGCAAAUAGCUGCAUGAAAAAGUGUGAUACAUAAAUAGGUUAGACCCAUGGCUUUUGUUAAAUAAAGGCCACUAAUAAAGUUUAUGUAGAAGUACUUAGUCUGAUUUUCUAGCUAAGUACAAAGCAUAAUCCAUUAAUAUCUGUAAAUUGGCAAAGCCAUGACAUUAUUUCCAUGCAAAACAUUUGCUUAAUGUACUUUUCUAGUCACAUAAUCAUUAGCACAGAUUAGGUAUUAUCCCAUGCCCUCUGCAGCAACAUUUGCAUACCAUAUUGCACAUAAUCUUAACCCUAUUACAAAGCCUGCUCCGAGUUCUUGUAUCUGGAGAUUAGACUAAAACAAAAAGAAACCGAUUGAACCUGUUGUGGGAUUUCUCAAAUUAGAAUUCUUUGGCAACUUUUUGUUUCAAACGUCUCUUCACAGCUCUCCGCCAAGGGAGAGAAAAUGAGUCUGGCCUUUGCCAUGCCUGUGAAGUCAUUAUCCUGUCAGGAAUGACACACAGAAUUGAACCAACAGAAACAAACUUCCGGCUUCACUCAGAGCCUCUCACAAUGAAAUCUGGCUGGACAUGGACUUUGAACGUUACACUCAUUGUUUAUUUCUUUGAGAUAUAACCUAAUAUAAUUAUUUUAUUCUCCAUGAAAGGAAGCAUAUAGUAGUUCUUUGCAAAGCAGCUCUCUCGCUACAGUUUUUCAUGUGCUCCCUUGAAUUAUUCCAAUACUUAAAAAUUGGAAGAAAAAGCCACUAUAUAUGGGUGGCCAGUAGGUCUGAGAAUAGCUGUCAACUUUUUCCUUUUUUUAAGGGAAAUUCCCUUAUUCCAAAUAGGAUUCCUCACAAGAAAAGGGAAAAGUUGACAGCUAUGGGUCUGAGUGAAGCCUAGUACACCCAGGUCUGUCAGCCAGGCUUCAUCCCCCAGCCUGCUUGCUAUUGGCCAAUUCAAAUGUGCAUUCUCCUGGGGGCCCACACAGCUCCUGGAGGAGGAUGACGUUCUCCAAUGGCCUCAUUGAAUGAGGGUUCAAACAGCUGCAGCUGUGCCUGUCCGCAGCCAGCAACCUCCCAGGAUUAUCGGUGAGUAUUCUUUGUCACACACACAAAACUUCAUUAGAUGGUGCUGGAUCCAGGAAAAUGCAGGUGUAAAGCAGCUAAUGGAUUGGGGGACUUGAGUGAAGUGUGGUGCAAAGGCUGUGAGAGAAGGAGGGAUCCCUGAAAGUUGGGUGGAGGGAAGCAACCUCUUCAAGUGAGCUCUCCCUUUUUCUCUCAGACCCAAUUACCACAGCCUGUUCCAUUCAGCAGAGACCCCAACCGUCAAGAGAGAUGGUGGGCAGUGGUGGUCCAUGGUGACAGGGAAGUCAGCUUCUGCCAGCUUUGUUCUGUGUACAUCUUUUCCGGAUCCAGCCCAUUCUCUCUGCUAUUUUGCAGUUAAAUGGUCAAGUUCUCAUCUUGCUCUUUGAUAGAGGGACUGGUAAAACUUUCAAACAAUCAGAAAAUGGAUGCGGUAUAAUUGAGGGAAGAAGUGAAAAGAACUGGUAAACAAGACAUAAAAGAAAGCUGAAACAUUUAGGGCAGCUACCAAUCAAGAAACACAUCUGAAGAAAUUAUAUUAUCCAGGCCCUCUCAUAUUUUGUUAUUUUGUUCUGCAGCUGCUGUUCAUGGGUUUCUCGCCCAUACGCCCCUUCCUUUCAGAAUUGUGGACGGAUGAUUAUUAUUUUUUUAUGCGUGUUCCAUUGAAGAAAAAAAACAGGAUCACUUUGUGUCAGCUACUUGAGUGUGUAAAAGGAGGAGGGAGACAGCUGGGGAAUUCCAAGAUCAAAUACAUAGCAUGAGUCACAACCCAGGGGGGAAACCAGUCCUAAACGUUUUGCUACUGAGUAUGCUGUACUUGACACAAUGGGACUUACAGUACAAUCCUACUGAGGUUUCCUUGGGAGUAAGUAAUGUUUCUACUGCUGGAAAUUGCUGAACCGCUUCUAGGGAAGUAGACAAUAAGAUGAAGCAAGCAAAAUGCAUUCUAAAAGUGAAGAGGAGCUUGAAGUUAUGACCACGUUGGCAGACUGAUGGGAUAUCAACAAAAACUUUAGCAAUGAAGUAGCAACUUUCACCCAAGCUACCACCUCCACCAAGCAUUUGAAUGACUGUCUCACACAUACAGUGAACACACGUUAGGGUGGGAGAUUGGCAGAUUCCAUUCCACCAGGCACAAGUGUUGAUUGGCAUAUAUGUAGCAUAUUUAACAUAUGCAUGUGAUCAGGAUCCCUAAAAAAUCAGGGCUCCCAAUUGUAUGAAUUAGUACUAUGUAAUAUAAGUGUAUGCAUGUGGAUACAUUGCAGACAUGCAAAUGAACAUGUGCACAAUGAAGUUGAAGCAUGCUGAUGUGAUGCCACCACUGCCCAGAUGUGCAUGUACUGAAUGUAUGGAAAAUACAAUUGUGUGGCGCUGAAGAAAUCCAGAUGUCUACAUGUCAUAGUCUCAUUGCUGAGCAACCACAUUCGGAGCUCAGUGCACUGAGAGGCCAGCCAGCCAGAAGAGUCCCUGAGGUGUACUUGCCUGGAGGCAGAAUCAGCAUCCAAAAUCAGGUCCUAGGGUCAGAUGAACAGCAAUCCACAUGGUCAGAUGGUCCAGGGGCCAGGGAAUCCAAAGAUCUCGGGGUCAAGAUGAGCAGGAAGCAGCAGAGUCAUAUCAGGAACUAUAAGCAUUGUUACCAGCACCUGACUGCUGCUGGAAGCUCUGCUGAAGAAGGCUGAAGCCAGCUGGUUCGCAUCAGUGCCUUCCCCUCUGUAACCUUGUAGGUUGCAGGUUGAGUCGCUCCACCUUCUCCCACUUCAGGCUGUUGUUCAGCAGGCAAAGCUGACUCCUGUCCCAUGACAGUACUUACUAAAAGGAGGAGUCAGGCCUAGAUUACAAUUAUUAGUGUUAUGGAUCACAGUAUAUCCUCAUAUAGAUUGUACCUGAAAAAAGCAAGCCAAACAUCUUUGCUCCAGAAAAUGAAAAAUAUAGCCCCCAACACUUUUAUAUAGCAUAUCUGCCAUAAUGCAUUUUUGGUGUUUUAGUAUCUCACAACAAUGUGUGUGUGUGUUCUGUGAGUUCAGCAUUUUCUCUGUCCUAGCUUAGUAGUUUUAGGGUUAACCCCCCCUCUCUUUUCUUGCUUUAAGGCAAGAUAGGUUGCAGAGAUAUUUCUUAGUCACACUCCAAUUGCCUUAUUUAUUAACCAAUUUGUUGAAAACAUAUUCAAAUAGAACACAAUGCUGAUGGUAAUUGAGAUAUAUGCAAGAUUUUUAGGGAGCUAUUUUGUUUUCUCCUUUUAAACUGCACCAUGCAUCAAAAAGAAUUCCCUAUGGAUUUCAUUGAAUUAAGAAGCAUAUCUGUGAUUUUAUUGAUUGCACCUCCAGCAGCGCCGCAAAAUUUUUAUUUGCCUUCCUGGCACACACACACAUAUAUAAUCUGCAGGCAUAUACAUAAACACAACUUUGCUGUCAGGUUGCCUAACCUAGGAUGCAAAAACCUGUCACUUCAGUUCAUUAAGUUUACAUCUCUCUGGCAGAGCUGAGAAAGGAAUUUGCAAUCAGCGAAUACAAGAAUAGGAAUGCAACCUAAGAGCAUGGUAAAUCAAUGUAUCUUUUCUCCACCAAUUGACUAAUUUGCUUCCAUAAAAAUUAUAGCAUGCCAGGGCUCAAAUCCUUAACCUCCUAUUGUCUCUGUGAUUAAAUGUUUGCCCAUUUUUUUGGUCAGGGUCAAAGUGAUGGUAGUUCAUUAAUACAUUCAAUUCCAUUCCAUAGCAGAUGCUAUGGUGAGCUGCAACUGCUCACCUCAUCUCUGGCUGGUUGCAUUGUUGCUGUUUACUGAGAGGUCACCAGUAAUGAGUUUGGUGUGGUGUAAAUGCACCAGUGGAGCCAACCUGAUACUCCAGCCAGUGCAUUUGCAAACAUCCUUGCAACCUUUACACCACCUUGUCCACCCCUCUCUAGCUCUUGGUAAGCAGCAGCAACACAGCUGACUGGAGGUCAAGUAAGUAGAGGCACCUCAUCACGCCGUCUGCAACUGAUUACAUUGAUUUUGGUAAUAUUAUUCAUGACUAGGGGUAUCCCAGUCUCAGAUUGCAAUCUUGCUAAGGUGUACGCACAACAGAACACAACGGCUCUUACUGCUGUCAUCCAGGGCCCUGCUCCAAGUCCAUUAAACUGGGGAGGAAAACCUGGUGUCAACCAGGAGAGAGGUCUUUUCUGUUGUGACAUCUACUUUGUGGAAUAUCUUACUGAGCAAGGUCUGUCAAGCUCCAUCACUGUUUUGCUUCAGGCAGCUGGUAAAGAUGAAGCCUUAUUUUUUAAAAAAUAAAGGCUUUUGGUUAAUUGUGAAAUUGCCUGCCGGCUCAGUUCUGGGCUACUUUUGUGCUGCUUGAAUUUGCUACACAGGAGGUCAAUUUAUCUGUUGGAAUGCAUACUGGAGUUUUUCAGGGAUUAUUUUGUUUUAUUCCAUUUCUAUUACUGUUUGUUUGCCAUCUUCAGUCUCUUUGGAGAAAUAUGAAGGAAUCAGGAUAAACAUUUUUUAAUAAAAUAAACAAUAAACAUUAACAGGAUUCUUCUGUCAAACAUAUACCCAGGAACUAGCAUUAAAUUUCAACAAUGUUUACUUCCAAGUAGUUUGCAUGAUCUAUUUUAAAGUACAACCUGGUGUUAGUUUGAUUAGAUCAUAGUAUUUGUUUGAUUGCUUAUUUCUAUCUCAUUUCUUAGUCAAGAACUCCUGUAGUAGCUAAGAGCAUUUUAAAACAGCAAGCAUGUUAAAUUCACACACACACACACACACACACACACAAGUUAAAACAAACAAAGCAACAAAUGGUCUUCUUAAUUCCACUGGGUUUAGGAUGAAAGUUGGUUGACUAGUCUUCCUAACGAGUGACUAUGAAAUUAGAAGGGUUAUAAAUAAGUCCUUUGUGAAUAAGUAAUAAAUUCUGCAAAGCUGACAGCUACUAUUUAUUAUACGCAUGAAAUGGUAAAGGAAAUCCCAGGUGGAACUCAAAAUAAAUGAAAAGCAUAUUUUCUUGCCCAACCAGACCCUCACUAUUUCUGUCACAUCUUUUAGUUCAGUCCCUUAUUUACACCAACAUAGGAACUGGUGGGUGGGAUUGCAAGCCCUACGUGGUGGGCUACACAAACUGUUGUCUUUACUUCAAUGCUAAAUUACAAUAGCACUUGUAGAAAUUCUAGCUAAGUGAUUUACGCCCUUGAACUAUGAGUGCAAGGCAUCCCAGCUUUCAAAAAGAAGAUAUUUCCAGAACUUAAUGGGAUUAUGAAGGCCAGACCAAGAAGUCUGGCAUUAGCUAACUAACCAAUCUACAAUAGCUGCUGAAGCUGGAAUGCAGAUGUUUGACAACACAGAAUAUACAGAGGAAGGGGACACGGGGUGGGGAGUGGGGAGAGAUUAUCAAAUUACAGGAACAUGCAGGAAAUUUCAUAGAUACAUAUGUGCAAGAUCCUGCCUCACAAAAAGAGACUGGAAAAGAUGCCUGUUAGAUUCAUUUUACUACUAUGAAUACUGUAUGUGAUGAUUUUAGGGAGAAAGGUAUUGAGCCGCAACUGACAAAUUGGAUUUGCACCCGAGAGCAAAUUAAAGGCUGCAGGCAUUCAGCAACUCUUUACGGUGUUCUUUGGACUGGGUUAAAAUGGCUCUGGAUAAAGAUUCUUUCUUUCUUUCUUUCUUUCUUUCUUUCUUUCUUUCUUUCUUUCUCAUUCAGUGGGGAACAAAAGGAUUAUAAGGGCUUUGGACAGGAUCACACAGAAACACAACAGAUCUAAUGUGCUUUCAUCUUCAUCGUUGCAAAUCCUCAGCUUUGGUAGGACUCAAGAGAAGCGUUAAAGUUCUUCCUGUUUAUUAAAGCAACGUUGAUGCCUUAGCCUGCCAGACACCCCAUGGAAAGCCAAGAGUCAGUGUCCAUUUCUCACUUUAAUUCUAGCAGUG